CCAUCGUUGAAGAUCCUUGACAUCAGCCAUUCUCAAUGCCUUAGUGAAACCAUUGACUUCUUUUCCCCAAUCUAGAGGAACUGAUUCUUGUAGAUUGCACAAGCCUGAAGAAUGUUCAUGAAUCCAUUGGAAACCUGGAGAGACUCGUGUACUUGAAUAUGAAGGAUUGCAAGAAUCUUAGGAUGCUUCCGAAGAACAUGUGCAUGCUUAAAUCACUUGAAACACUCAUUUUAUCUGGUUGCUCAAAUCUUGAUGAGUUUCCAGUGGAGAUGAUGAAGAAGAUGGAGUCUCUGAAAGUUCUUCAGACAGAUGGAAUUGCAAUAGGUGAAUUGUCGCCAGAAAGAUGUUUGAGUUCUUUUCCAUGCUCUUUAGUAGAGUUAAGUCUGAAGGGGUGCAAUCUUUCUGAUGAUGUCUUUCUUACGGAUUUAAGUAAUCUAUCCUACUUGAGAAGACUACAUUUGGAUGAGAAUCCAAUUUGCAGUCUGCCAGUUUUCAUCAAAGGUUUGAGGAGGAUCGAUGAACUCUCUUUCAAGGGUUGUGAUAGGCUCGAAUCCCUUGUGGGGUUGCCGGAAGUACACCAAAGGAUGAGUAUAGUCGGAUGCAUAUCAUUAAAAAAAAUAACUUUUCAUUCCCCUAAGCAAUUGUAUCCAAUAUAUGUGGGUGACAACUGGAAUCUUGUUGAGUGGGGGUGCUAUUACAAAUUAGAGCCUAUUGAUAGAGUUGAUGUGGAAAUGAUCAAACUUUUGGGCUUGUGCAACUUGGAAUCCAUGCCAGCUGUUCAAAUGCAUUAUCCAGACUCAGACAGCGAUCCAAAAGAGGUCCCCGUCCAGGUGCGCCUUUCUUUCUCUCUCUCAUAAGUCUUAAAUAUAUAAUGGGAAAGAAAUGACUGAGUAAUAUUGUGAUGACUGUGGCAAAUACAUAGGGACUCUAUGAAUGUGGUAUAUUCAGCACGUUUUUUGUUGAGAAUGAGGUCCCAGGCCGGUUCAGCUAUAAAAGUACCAAGUCCUCGAUAUCUUUUAUUGUCCCUUUACUACUUGCUAGUCACAGAAUUCGAGGCUUGAACAUCUUUGCUACCUAUGCAAAGGAAAAUUCAAAUAAUUAUUUUACUAGACCUGGCAUUGCUCCAAUAAUGAUCAAAGUGAGAAACAAGAGUAAGGGUCUGAAGUGGAUCUAUGGCCCAAUAUUCUAUGGUAUCCCAGGUGACGGAGAAGAUAUGAUAUGGUUGAGCCAUUGGAAGAUGGAGAAUAAAACAAUAUUACAAUGUGGAGAUGAAGUGGUGGUUUCGGUAAUAACCGGACCAUGUGACUUGUUUUGGGUAAAGGAGUUUGGUGUCGAGCUUGUGCCAGAGCACCAAGACAAGAUGAGUACCCAACACAACACCAAAUCAGAUCCUAAUUAUCCACUUGUUAUCGGUGGAGAUUUGGAGACGUGGAAGUGCAGACCGGGAAUAUACUUCCUUGGUGGUCGGACAAGUACAGAUACUGACGACAUUGAUAUCCUCACCAUGGACUCUGAUGAAGAAGACACAAGUAUGUUGUGUUGUUGUAUUGCAUUGAAUUAUACUCCAUCGAAACACUUCCAGGUGUGUCUGUAUUCAUUUCAAAAACGUUUCAAUAAAUUUUAUGUUAUUUAUAUGUUUUUCAGACGAAGAAGGGCAAGAGGAUGAAUCUGAUUACACAAUUGCAAAAACGAGGGCUGCUAGCAAUAACUGCAGUUUGAGAGGCUGGAAGGUGCACCUCACGGCUGUCGGCUUCUUUUUCGCGCUUGCUCUAGUAAGUUGGUCCUCCCACUCCCGAAAAAAGAAGCGACAGUCGUCCACAAGCCCACCAUGAGUUUGUAAUUUGACUUGAUAUGGAUAUAUCUUUGCAUUCCUUGCUCUCAAGAUGUUUUCUACCUUCAAAACUUCAGGUUCAGAGCUAAGCAUUCUUAACCGCUUGAGAUAUAAAUGCCCUUUGUAACUAGAUACCGAAGUUCAAAUGUGUUCAACUCCAUCAAAUAUAGCAUAAAAUACAUCCAGCAUUGAAUGCAUGUGUUUUGAACUACAAGAAAUCUUAUACAUUGGGUAGACCGUAUAGUGUAUCACAUUCAAAUGCAAUUAUUCAUGAAGAUGAAGUAUGAGAUGCCCUAAUUGUUUUACCAGAAGAUGCUGGAUCAAUUGUCUCAAAAAAUUAUUUCGGUAAUUGUUGGUAAAACUCAAAGUUAUCCAAAAGUUUGGGGUCAGCAUAAGCUUAUGCAUCAGCAUCAGAUUGUGUCUCCUAUCAGACUGAAGGAAUAAAAUUACUCAAUUUGUGCAAAUAAAAAUAAAAAUUUUAUAACACAUCAAAGAGAUAAUUAAAGGAGACCUCACAAGCUGUACAUCCAAGUGGCAAACAAAUCAAAAUUUUAAAUAAAGCUAAUGGCGCAUGAAGAGUAUUGAAACACUCAUAGCCCUCGCACACAGGUUGCAUGGUCUUUUCUUAUAACAAUAAAAGGAACAAAUUCAUCAAGUCACAUUUGGGCCAUUAAAAAAAGCUACAAAUUCAUCUUUCCAUGUCUUUAUCUCACAAACCCAUAAUGUGGCAAUCCUCCAUUAGAAAGGUAACGUACGUUUUGAAAAACGUGGCAAAUAUUGAAUGAGUAAUGACGCCUCUAAAAAUAAAAUUGAAUUAUUUGAAAGAAUCUCUCAUAAAAUAAAGUAGGGGUAAAGUACAAAAAAUUACUUCAAAUAUUAGUCUCAUGACAUUGUCAUACUUCAUCUUUUAAAAUUGACAAUAUCAUACCUCAUCUUUAGAAUUUGGUCAAUUUUAUACCAUCCUUUAGCCUGACCGUUAAUUUGUCAGUUAAAUACUGACGUGGCUUGAUCCAAACCCCACUUUCUAUUAAAAAAUUAAGAAAAUAUUAAAAACCCCACCCCCUAUCUCUCCUCCCUCAUCUUCUUCCCCUGCUCUGCCCAGAAACGAAACGAACAAAAAAAAAAAAAAAAAAAUCAAAACCCAAUUCGUCCCCACCCCACCCCACCCCCUCUAUCUCCUCCCCCAUCUUCUUCCCCUGCUGCCCAGAAACGAAACGAAAAAAAAAAAAAAAAACUAAAAAUCAAAACCCAGGUCGUCCCCACCCAAGACUUGGGCUCGCACACCCAUGGCUCGCCGGACCUGGGUUGGGUGUCCUCUGGGUGCCUCGGAGCUUCACGGAGACGAAAAGAGAAAGGGUUGACGCCAAUGAUGGUUUUGGUACCGUCGUCGGUGGGUGUGGGUGUGUAAAUGGGUGCGUGAGUGUAGAUCUGGGAGAGGGGUAUAGUCUGUGCGAGAGAGGGGGAGAAAGAGUGAGUGAGCUGAGAGAGAGGGAGAUGUUGGCAUGGGUGGGGAAGGGUGGGGGGUUGCACGGAGGGGGAACGGGAAGGGGUCGGGGUGGGGGGGGGGGAGAUGAGAAUGGGUUCUGGGAUGCAGAGAAGAGAGAAAGGCGAGAGAGAAGGGGAGAGAGAGAGAGGAGAGAGAGAGAGAUUUAAUAUAAAAAUAAAAAAGAGAGGAGAGAGAGAGAUUUAAUAUAUAUUUUUUUAAUUUUUGAAUAUUUAAUUAUUAAAAAUGUAUUUUAUUAUUUUUUAAUCCAAUUGGAUUGGAUUAGUGAGUGGAACACGUGUCGGGCCACGUCAGUAUUUAACAGAAAAAUUAACAGAAAAACUGACGGAGGUGCGACAUUGACACAAAUUCCUAAGAUAAGGUAUGACAUUGUCAAUUUUAAAAGAUGAGGUAUGAAAGUGUCGUGACACCAAUAGUUGAGGUAGUUUUUUUAUACUUUACCCAAUAAAGUAACGAAUAAUCAACAAAAGUAGCAGUACACCAAGUUGAACCUUUUUCAACGUUGAAAUGAAAUAUGAAAGGAGAUCAAGUUGAUAUUAGUCGUCACUUGUAUUUUAUUUUUUUGAAUAAACGAUAUUGUCUACAUUGAGGAGAAUGAGUUCGUUAAGCCUUACAAUGGGCUAGUAAUAAUAUAGUUCAAAUUCGUAUUUGGCGAGAAUCAAAUCUAAAGUUUCUCACUUACAAAUGAAGAGAAAUAUCAUUGGACUAUAACAUUAUUCAUCUACUUAAAAAUAAUGAAUAAUCAAGAAAAACAUUGCACGGUCCCCCUCUCGUCACUUACCACUAGUGGCCAUCACUUCCUUGAGCAAAAGAGAUCUUUCGAAUUGCUUGACCAAAAUAAGAAUUGACUUGGCUGUCCGUCCAUCAAUAACAGGUCCACAUCUCAACCCAAAUAUAAUGACGUCAAAUGAGAAGGAAACUCUGGGGGGUACAGGGAAGGAAAAUGAGAAAAAGGGAAAAGUUGAAGGGGAAGGAGGAAAAUGACAGGAAAUUUCGGAGAAUAGAAAAAAGGAGAAGGGAUAAGAAGGAAAAAUGGGAAGGAAGCUUAGGAGGGUAGAGAAAAAGAGGGAAAUGCAUAAAAAUAAAAAAUAAAAAAGGAAAGUCGCCUUCAUCAUUAUGCCUACUAACGGAAAGGAGCAACCGCAUUGUAAAUUAUAUUUCGUAUAAUGAGAAACCAGUAUUCCUACCCCGAGGAUAUAGACACAACUUGCCGAAUCUCGUUACUAUACAGCAAACAUAUAACUGCACAACAAUUCGAUCAACCACCUUAAGCUCAAUCAUAAAUGUACCAAGAUUCAAGUUUUUCCAAACUUUCCUUAUGAAAUUAACUGAACAUUACAAGUGCCAUAUUAUUAUGCGGUUCUAUCAAGUUUUAAUUUUUGUCUCAUAACCACAUCAUCUUUAGGACAAUCAAUAUUGCAGUUGAAUAUAUAAACCUUCGAUAUGGUGAUAUUGGAAACACUAGUUGGUGGGUUAAUUGGUAGAAAUUGUUCCAACAAUUCAAGGACGAGAAAUGAGUAUUGAGCAACGAUCAAAAUGUGUUGUAUUUUAUCACAAAAGAUGUUUGUGCAAUUAGAAGUACACUAGAAAGUUUGCCCGAUCGUUGCUGCGGGAAUGUCAAAUAUAUUGUAAGUAUUGUAUAUAAAUGUUACAUAAGGGAACAAAUAUGUUGCAAGAAUUGUGUGUAGAAUUUAUAAAACACGUACCAAGUAUUUGCAUAAAAUUUAAAAUAUAUAGUUGUUACUUGUUCAAAUUAUAACAGCUUGUACAAACAUGAGUUUGAAAUUCACCUGCCUUAACUUCUCCACACUUUACACACAGAGACCCUUAUCUUUUUUGGUGGUUUAAAAGCUUGCAAAUCACGGGAGGCUGUCCAUUUUGUUACAAAGAUGCAGAACCAAAAUAUAUAUUUUAUCAAUUUUCGAGAGCAUAAAUGGACAAAUUAAAUUGUAUGUAAAGAAUGUGUAGCAAAAUAUCAAAUAGCAAAAGAAAUCUCAACAUAACUCUACCACAACAAUAAGGAAUCUCAAAUAGAAAAAAGGGAGACUUUGGAUGCGGUCCCUAGUUAUGAAUAGUCUUUGACUGAAACCUUGUUGGUUUUCAAUUUUUGAUCCAAGUCCCUGAAAUUAAUUGAUAAUUUAUUUCUAUGUACGUUACUAUAUUUUUUAAAUUAAAAAUUAAAAUUUAUAGUUGUUUAUAGUAAUGAGAUUUUAAAUAAAAAACCAUAAUUUGUGGGAUUAAAAAUAUUAAAAUAUAAAUAUACUAUUGUGUGUGUGUGUGUAAACAUGGGUACAUUCAUAAAAAAUAACCAAAAAAUUAUUGUAUCAAAACAUGGAUACAUUCUUCUUCAAAAUGGGUACAUUUAGCAAAAAUAAAAAUGGGUACAAAUAAAUAAAAAAAAUAUGGGUACAAUACAAAUAAAACUUUAAAAAAUAUGGGCACAAAAAGAAAUUAAUAUAUGGGUACAAAUUAAAACUGAAAGGAAAAUUGGUACAAAUUAAAAAAGGGUUGCAAAUUAAAAAUGGGUACAAACUAAAAAUAAAAAUAUAUGAUAAAAAAUUUAGCCAUAAAUAUAAAUAUACUAAUUGUAAUAUUUUUAAUAUUAAAUGAAUAUAUUUAGAAAUAAAAAAUAUUUUAUUAUUGAAAUAAUUAAUGAUAUUAUUAAUACAAAGGAUCUUGAUCAAAAAUUGAAAAGUAAUAAGGUUUUAAUCAAUAGAGUAGUAAAAAUAAGGAUGAAAACCUAAUUACUCCUAGAAAAAAUCUACCAACUACCAUACGGAUGAUUUUUAAAUGAAUAAAAGCCUACCCUAUUAUGGAGAGCUUAUACCUUUCACUUGUUUACUGUUCUUGAUGAGUUGCAAAACACAACCAACAAAAGAAAAUCAAACAAACAUCAAAACAAAGGUCAUGCCUGAUAAGAAGGUUUCAUUUAUAAUUAUUUCUAUUUCUACAUAAAUACUAAUAAAUUAAGCUCCCAAUGAUCUGCAUAAACAUUUGCAAGGCCUUCUUUUCCAUCGAUGGAAAUGACUGAAACAGAUUCAACCCAUGUCUUAAUUACAUCAGUUAUGUGUUGAACCACCUAAAUCGACUCAAAUCACUGAAGAAAGGCAAUCAUCAGCGUUCAAGCAAGUGAAGCAAAAAAGAAAAGGUAGGACACAUGAACAUUGUGAUUUUGUACCAUCACCUGGACAGUCUUGCCAACGUAAGGGCAGAGGACAGAAAUGAAUGAACUCAAUUCCAAUACGCUAACCGUUAAAGGUAUAUACGUCAUGACAGUCUUAUGAAUAACCAAAUUAUCUGAAGUUCAAGAUAUUGGAUAGCUACAUACAGAUUUGGAGACAAAACCAACAAAUCCAGGCCAGUAUAGCUUGCGGUGAAUAAUGUUAUCAAUGUUCCAGCAGUGUCACCAAUCUUAAAAACUCCAGCUUGAAUUCCUCCAACAGUAGCUGGGCCAAUGACAACCUGCAAAAGAUACGAUAAUUAAAGUUAAUAUCGCCAGUUCAUUUUCCCAGGUUAGUGAAAUUAAGAUGACUUUGCAUCAAUCGUGUAACCUUGUUGUUUGCCCAUGCAUAUGCGAUCAAUUGCUUAGUGUCUGACUCAGGUACACCUUCAGCAAUGACCGCCACAACUCUAAUGGUUGGUUGCUUGAGAGCAGCCAUGGAAGAAGCGGCAGCACUGCAGAUAUAUCAACAUACAUUCAUCGUUAGGUACAACCAUAGAAGUUUCGCACUCCAAAACACUACUCAUAGAAUAAUCACUGACCUUCUGUACGAAGCAAAGUUGAUUAAGACAUCAGCAGUAGGCUGUGCAGUGCGUGAUGCUUCAAUGUUGCAAUAGUUAUCAACCCAAAGGUCAGACAAUCUCGAAACAACAGAUCAAGAAUGGUAAUCUGACUAAUAACAUGAUUUGAAUAUAUUAGAUAUGGAAAAUUAAGAUUAACCAAGCAUACAUGCAUAUACAUAAUUAUACAAAAGGUGGCUUGCGGCAACGAAAGACGAAAUCUAGGAAGAGGAUGAGAGAAUGGCAACUUACUUUUAAGUGCAUUGGUAUGGCGAUUUCCUUUUGACCGAAAAAUAGCUUCUGAAAUCCCUCAGAACCAGGGUUAAUGAUUCCACCAACUGACGGUGUCUCCCUCCGUAUUACAAACCUCAGUUAUUACAUUUACAUCUUUUUCAAAAACUAAAAACUAUAAGUAAGAUCAAGUUCGAAGUAGGAAAUGAUACACACCGCAAAGGACGUCAAAAUCGAGUUAGAAGCACCUGAUAUAUCUUGCCAGUGGUAAUGUUGUUAUCCCUAGGUCCAAAUCAAUCUACAAUUACAAUUAAAGUUUAAACAAACUCAGCAGCAUAAAGUUUAAAGAUAAGACUCACACUCAACAUGAUACCAAGAUAGAAUCCAAAAAUAAAUUAAAGAUAUGACUAAAAUUAUUUGUUCUAAUCGAACAUAUUUCCUAGUUUUCUUAUCCAAUUAUACAAUUGCAGUUCCUAAAACAAAAAAUAAUUAAAAAGUAAUUUGCAGAAAGAAAAUUAGAAAAUUCGAACUUGACAACAAUCUACCUUAAGAAACCCCAUGACCGAGUAACAGCAACAACAACAUUGAGACAUAAUUUGGUGAAUAUAUAUGGUGGACAAAUUUAACAACUCUAGUACUGUUAACAAAGCUUCAACCAACAACAACAACAACAACAACAACAAAGCCUUUUCCCACUAAGUGGGGUCGGCUAUAUGAAUCCUAGAACGCCAUUGCGCUCGGUUUGUGUCAUGUCCUCCGUUAGAUCCAAGUACUCGAAGUCUUUUCUUAGAGUCUCUUCCAAAGUUUUCCUAGGUCUUCCUCUACCCCUUCGGCCCUGAACCUCUGUCCCGUAGUCACAUCUUCAACCAAUACAACAUAAAUCAAAUCAAUAUAUACCUGCAUAUCCUGAGUCCGAAUUGUACCCUCGUGCCCUGCAAUGCCUUGGUGAGCGACUCCUGCUUAAAAUCCAAACACACAUUUAACUUUAACAACACACAAAAAAUCAAAACUCUCAUCAUUAGAAAACCAAAAGGAAAACUUGAAAUUAUAUACCUGAAGCACAAAUGGUUUGCAAACGCAUAUACAAAAUUUUCAAAAAACAAAGAUCACCGUUUCCUGAAAAUGAAAAGAAAAGCAAAUCAUAGAGCCAAACCGAGAAUCCGAACACAGAAAUAAAAUCCCCAAAGUUAUGAAAACAAAAUUUAAAUGCAACACACAUCUGCAAACGGAAGACCACCCCAAAAAAAAUUAAAUUUUGUUCGACAAAAAGCCCAAAAGAAAAGGUAGAUUUUAUAUACACACCUUGAACACAAAGGGCUUGCAAAGUUGCAUUGAGAGCCCCAAAAUUGGGACAUGAGCGUUUCCUGAAACCAAAUAAGCGCACAUAUCAAACCCCCAAAAUGAAAAAAUAGAAAAUUUAAAGACAAAAUCCAUCUGCAAAUCGAAAACCACCGAAAAAAAUUAAAUCAGAUACACUGGAAAAAACGCAAAACUCACUGGAACAACACUGGCGUGGAAGAGAAAAAAAACUAGGUUCGAAAAUAAGCAGAAGGUGAGAAUGGAGAAAGAGAGAAGCCAGCGGAAAGAAAAAGCUAAGAGCACUAUUCGAUCCGCCAUAUUAAACAGUAACUGCCUUAAAUGAACUUAAAUGAAUAGUAAUUACCAUUAAUGAACGGUAAUUGUCAUUUACAUCUCCACCGUUGGAACCAUCUCCCUAGCAAUAAGCAAUUAAAAUAAUAAUUUUUUUUGUUUGUUUAAAUAAUAAAAAAAAACCCCUCCCUCUCUCUCUAUAACACAAAAAAAAUAAAAAAUUGCAAAGCCCUCGGGCCACAGGCCCGUCGACUCCCUACCCCCCUUCGCUCGGGUUCCCACCAUCGCUCGGCCUCCACACGGCUGGACCUCUCUCCAUCGGGCCUCCGGCCCCUUCUUCUCCACUGUCCCCCGAUGGGUGGAGUUGCUCUAAGAAGAGGUUGGAAACGGAAUAAUAGAAAAGCAUAAAUGAGUACGAAAACACGAAUCUUUGUGUUUUUACGGGAGUAGUAGAAAAUAUUAUUUUUUAAGUUAUAAACUUUAUAAUACACAUAUCUUAUUAUGUAUAUAGUUACACGUGGUGUAAUAUUCCGUGUAACGAUCAUACUGAAAAAUCUCUUGUUAAAUUUAGGGAUGUGAUAUCUACACAUCUUAUUUUACUUCUCACACACCUUUGUAAUUUUCGGCCGUCGGAUCGGAUGAAUUGAAAAAGAUCAGCAAACAAAAAAUAUUAAGGGUGUGUGAGAAGUAAAAUAGGGUGCAUCGAUAGCACAUUUCUAAAUAUUUACAUAGCGACACGUGGUGUACCAUCCCGUGUGACGAUCACACUGAAAAAUCUCUUGUUAAAUUUAGGGGUGUGAUAUCCACACACCCCAUUUUACUUCUCAUACACCUUCUUAAUUUUCGACCAUCAGAUCGGAUGAAUUAAAAAAUAUCAACUAACAAAAAUUAUUAAAGAUGUGAUAAGUAAAAUAGAGUGCGGAUACCUAAAUUUAACAAGAGAUCACAUUUUUCAAUAUUUUUUUGGUCUUCCCACCGUCUACACAUGGGUUUAAAAAAUUAAAAAAGUAUAAAAUUUUUAUUUUUUGUUGUGCCACAAACCAUGUGGCCAGGUUUUAAUCAUUUUUUAAUAAUUUUUUUGUCCUCCCACCAGUUACACAUGGGUUUAAAAAAAGGAUUUGGAUUGUCUGCCCUCCUAGUUGUGAUGCCCUUCUAUUUUGUGCGGUCACGGUUAAAUCAAGUCAAUAUUUUAUAUUUUAAUUAUUUUUUGUCUUAUUAUCUCAUUAAAAAAUUAAUAUAAAAUAUUAACGUAGCUUAACCGUGACCGCACAAAAUAGGAGCGCAUAGAAGGGCACCACAACUAGAAGGGCAGACAAUCCAAGUCCUUAAAAAAAUUUAAGAAUGUAUAAAGUUUUUUGUUUGUUGUGUCACAAACCACGUGGACCGGUUUUAACCACAUUUGUUUAAUAUUUGUUUGUCUGCCCACCGGCUAUAUGUGACUUAAAGAAAUGUUUUUUGGGUCAAUGGAUGGGAACGACCCAUUUUAUAAUUGUUUGUAAAUUUUUCUGGAAGUAGAUGGAAAGGACCCAAUUACAUAUUUCCCCUGCUCACAGACAUUUGCAUUGCACCUAGCAAACACCAGUUUUUUGUUUGAACAUCGAUCCCCUCAUCAAUGGCUCUUGUGAGAACAUAUCCAAGAAUCUCCUCUAAUUCCAACACUUUUCGGAGUUAUCGCUACGACGUGUUCUUGAGCUUCAGAGGCGAAGAAACUCGCAAGACUUUUACCGACCACCUCUACACAGCUUUGAACAACGCAGGAUUUCUUACGUUCCGAGACGACGAUGAACUUGAGAGAGGAGAAGAUAUAAAGCCAGGACUGCAGAAAGCGAUCCAGCAGUCACGAACUUCUAUUGUCGUGUUUUCGAAAGAUUACGCGUCAUCCAGGUGGUGUCUUGAUGAGCUUGUGCUGAUCCUUGAACGCAAGAGGACCACCUCGGACCAUGUAAUUUUACCAGUCUUCUACGAUGUCGAUCCAUCCCACGUGAGGAAGCAGACAGGAAGUGUUGGAAAAGCAUUUGCUAGAAGCCAGAAACAUCAGUCGCUGGAAAAGGUGGAGGGAUGGAGGACGGCACUUGCAGAGAUUGCAGACCUAGCAGGCAUGGUCUUACAAAAUCAAGCAUAUGGGUAACUUUCAUUAUCUCCAUUUCUCUUCUCUUUCUUGGGUCAAUUUGAUGUAUGAUCCGUAGUGACAUAGAUUUUUAUAUAUUUAUUAAUUCAAUCUCAGUAGUGAAUAAUAAUUCCAAUUUAGGUCAACUUAAAGAAAUCACACUCAACUCAACUUAAGGAUUAGUCAUUUUCCAUGUUAUCUACUGGUUUCCAGUUGCUUAAUUUUUUUUGAAAGCUGGUGUGGAAAAAAGUUAGGAUGUGAUCUGUGAUGUAUUUGUCUAUAGUUCGUAUAAAUUAUGCGUUGUAUUCCUUUUUUUUUUCAAAUUAAUUUUGUCAGCAGUCCUAUUUUUUUUCUUAUUUAAACAAAGGCAAUCAACAUAUGUUUUAAUUAUCUAAUUUCCCCAAUUCAUUUUUCAUUUUUCAUUUUGUUUGCAAAUUCUUAGGUACGAGUCAAAGUUUAUCAAAAAAAUUGUUAAAGUGAUAGGAGACAAGUUAAGUCGCACACCAUUGAGUGUUGAACCAAAAUUGAUCGGAAUUCAAUCUCAAGCCGAACGCAUCAAUUUAUGGUUACAAGAUGGAUCAAGUGAUGUUGGUAUAUUUGUUGUGUAUGGCAUGUCUGGAAUAGGGAAGACAACCAUUGCAAAACAUGUUUACAAUUCAAACUUUAGAAGCUUUGAAGGAAGUAGUUUCAUUGAAAAUAUCAAAGAAACAGCAGAUCGACCAAAUGGCUUAGUUCAAAUACAAAUGCAACUUCUUUGUGAUAUUUUGAACGGCAAAGAAGUGAAAAUACACUGUGUUAGUCAGGGAAUAAUUAAGAUUGAAAGGGCCGUAAGCUCUAGAAGAGUUCUACUUGUUCUUGAUGAUGUCGACCAAAUGGACCAAUUGGAUGCAAUCCUAAGGAUGAAAGAUCAGUUUUAUCCAGGAAGUAAGAUACUAAUAACAACUAGGCGUGAAAGGUUGCUAAAGGCAGAUCAAGUUACAGAGGUGCACAAUGUUCAAACUUUGGAUUACAAUGAAUCAUUAAAGCUUUUUAGUUGGCAUGCUUUUGGCCAGGACCAUCCCAUAGAAGAAUACACGGAGCACUCAAAACAGUUAGUGCAACAUAGCGGCGGACUUCCAUUAGCUCUAAAAGUUUUGGGUUCUUCUUUAUCAGGGGAAAGUAUAGGUGUAUGGGAAAGUGCAUUGGAGAAGCUAAAAGUUAUUCCUGAUGGUGAAAUCAUGAAUAAACUAAGAAUAAGCUAUGAAAGUUUAAAAGAUGACCAUGAUCGGAAAUUAUUCCUCCACAUUGCUUGUUUCCUAAUAGGAAGGAACAAAAGCUACAUUGUUAGAAUAUUGGAUGGAUGUGAUUUCUAUACAAUCAUUGGCAUUCAAAAUCUCAUUGAUAGAUGCUUGGUGACACUUGAUGAACACGACAAGGUGAAAAUGCAUGACAUGAUUCGUGCUAUGGGAAGAGAAAUUGUUCGUCAAGAAUCAGAAGAGCCUGAGAAACGUAGUAGAUUAUGGCGCGAUAAGGAUUCUUUCCAAGUAUUGAAGAAAAAGAAUGUAAGAAACAUGCCUUUUAUGUCUAUAUUUGUAUUUCAUCUUGUGAAAAUUAUGCAUAUUAAUGUCUCUUUUUUUUUCCUUUAGGGUACAAAAAAAAUCCAAGGUCUUGUCCUGGAUAUGCGUAACCAUCCUGCAAACAAUCCAAUAAACACAAAUGAGAUAGUCUUGGAAACCAAUGCAUUUGCAAGGAUGUCCAAUUUACAACUACUCCAUCUUAGUCAUGUACGACUGGAUGGAUGUUAUGCAGAUUUCCCUACAGGAUUAAGAUGGUUGUGUUGGCUUGAAUUUCCUUUGGAUUCUAUGCCAAUUGAUUUUCCUUUGGAGAACGUAAUUGUUCUUGAAAUGCAAUACAGUAGCUUGAGACAAGUAUGCAAAGGAACAAAAGUAUGUUACUCCAUGCAUUUCAAUUCAUUUUCCUUAUUUUGUUAGUUUUCUAUUUGUUGACUAACUCCAUGUGUUAAAAUGAACUACUAUGUUUUCUUUAAUUCGAUGACUAAUUUCUUAUAUUAGAUACUUAUUUCAUUGUUCUUUUUUCUUUUUUUAUUUUUUUUCUUCCUCUGUUUCCACAGUUUCUUCCAUCGUUGAAGAUCCUUGACGUCAGCCAUUCUCAUGGCCUUAGUGAAACCAUUGACUUCUCACUUUUCCCCAAUCUAGAGGAACUGAUUCUUGUAGAUUGCACAAGCCUAAAGAAUGUUCACGAAUCCAUUGGAAACAUGGAGAGACUUGUGUACUUGAAUAUGAAGGAUUGCAAGAAUCUUAGUAAGCUUCCGAAGAACAUGUGCAUGCUUAAAUCACUUGAAACACUCAUUUUAUCAAGUUGCUCAAAUCUUGAUGAGUUUCCACAGUUUCUUCCAUCGUUGAAGAUCCUUGACGUCAGCCAUUCUCAUGUUCUUAAUGAAAACAUUGACUUCUCACUUUUCCCCAAUCUAGAGGAACUGAUUCUUAUAGAUUGCACAAGCCUGAAGAAUGUUCAUGAAUCCAUUGGAAACCUGGAGAGACUCGUGUACUUGAAUAUGAAGGAUUGCAAGAAUCUUAGGAUGCUUCCGAAGAACAUAUGCAUGCUUAAAUCACUUGAAACACUCAUUUUAUCUGGUUGCUCAAAUCUUGAUGAGUUUCCAGUGGAGAUGAUGAAGAAGAUGGAGUCUCUGAAAGUUCUCGAGACAGAUGGAAUUCCAAUAAGUGAAUUGGGGCCAGAAAGAAGUUCAACUAUCUUGAGUUCUUUUCCAUGCUCUUUGGUAGAGUUAAGUCUGAAGGGGUGCAAUCUUUCUGAUGAUGUUAUUCCUCCAGAUUUAAGUAAUCUAUCCCACUUGCGAAGACUACAUUUAGAUAAUAAUCCAAUUUGCAGUCUGCCAGGUUUCAUCAAAGGUUUGAGGAGGAUCGAUGAACUCUCUUUUUGGUGUUGUGAUAGGCUCGAAUCGCUUGUGGGGUUGCCAGAAGUACACAAAUGGAUAAGUAUAAUCGGAUGCAUAUCAUUAAAAAAAAUAACUUUUCAUUCCCCUGAGAGAUUGUGUCCAAUACAUUUGGGUUACAACAGGAAUCUUGUUGAGUGGGAAUGCAAUUACAAAAUAGAGCCUAUUGAUAGAGUUGAUGUGGAAAUGAUCAAACUUUUGGGCUUGUGCAACUUGGAAUCCAUGCCAGCUGUUCGAAUGCGUUAUCCACACUCACACAGGGAUCCAAAAGAGGUCCCCGUCCAGGUGCGCCUCUCUUUCUCUCUCUCAUAAGUCUUAAAUAUAUAAUGGGAAAGAAAUGACUGAGUAAUGUUGUGAUGGCUGUGGUAACUACAUAGGGACUGUAUCAACGUGGUAUAUUCAGCACGUUUUUUGUUGGGAAUGAGGUUCCAGGCCGGUUCAGCUAUAUAAGUACCAAGUCCUCGAUAACUUUUAUUGUCCCUUUACUACUUGCUAGUCAUAGAAUUCGAGGCUUGAACAUAUUUGCUACCUAUGCAAAGGAAAAUUCAAAUAAUUAUUCUACUAGACCUAGUAUUGGUCCAAUAAUGAUCAAAGUGAGAAACAAGAGUAAGGGUCAGAAGUGGAUCUAUGCCCCAGAGUUCUAUGGAAUUCCAGGUGAUGGAGAAAAUAUGAUAUGGUUAAGCCAUUGGAAGAUGGAGAAUAAAACAAUAUUACAAUGUGGAGAUGAAGUGGUGGUUUCUGUAAUAACUGGACCACGUGACUUGUUUUGGGUAAAGGAGUUUGGUGUCGAGCUUGUGCAAGAGCACCAAGACAAGAUAAGUACCCAACACAACACCAAAUCAGAUCCUAAUUAUCCACUUGUUAUCGGUGGAGAUUUAAAGACGUGGAAGUGCAGACCGGGGAUAUACUUCCUUGGUCGUUGGACAAGAGAAGAUACUGACGACAUUGAUAUCCUCACGAUGGACUCUGAUGAAGAAGACACAAGUAUGUUGUGUUGUUGUAUUGCAUUGAAUUAUACUCCAUCCAAACACUUCCAUGUGUGUCUGUAUUCAUUUCAAAAACAUUUCCAAUAAAUUUUAUGUUAUUUGUAUGUUUUACAGACAAAGAAGGGCAAGAAGAUGAACCUGAUUACACAAUUGCAAAGAUGAGGACUGCUAGCAAUAACUGCAGCCUAAGAGGUUGGAAGGUGCGCCUCACAGCUGUCGGCUUCUUUUUCACGCUUGCUCUAGUAGGUUGGUCCUCCAUCUCCCAAAAAAAGAAGCGACACUCGUCCACAAGCCCACCAGGAAUUUGUAAUUUGACUUGAUAUAGAUAUAUCUUUGCAUUCCUUGCUCUCAAGAUGUUUUCUACCUUCAAAAUUUCAGGUUCAGAGGUAAGCGCUUUAACCGCUUGAGAUAUAAAAGCCCAUUGCAACUAGAUACUGAAGUUCAAAUGUGUUCAACGCCAUCAAAUAUAGCAUAAAAUACAUCCAGCAUUAGCGAUACUAGCAGAUUAGCUGUAAAUAAGUAAAACAAAAAAAUGCUUCUACACAUGGUAAGGGAAGGACUUUGACUGACAUAGGUAUCUUUAGCAAUAACGGGCAAGAUUUUUUUUUGUUGGGAGGGGUGGGGAUUAUUUCGACACCGGGGAAAACAAAAACAUCCUAUCUGCUUAUAAAUGACAAAGUUACAAAUCUUAAUUGUCGUUUACAACAAAAUCAUUCUUAAAGACUCGGCUCCCCAUUGAAAUUGUGUAAAUUGCAUAAAUAUCAAUACAACAGAUAUUAGAUAGAAUAAUAUAUAUCAAAUAAAUUAACGACAGGCAAUUUCUUAGCCUGAGAUUCAAGGACUUCACAGCUGGUUCAGCCUUGCAUCGCUACUACGCUACUCCAGUCAACUGAUUUAAAAGAGUACCCUGUUUCUCAGCGCAACAUGCACAAAAUCAACACCGGGUAGAAACUAAAAACCACCACCAAAUAAAAGUGAAUUCGACAACGUCAACGUAUUUACUUACCAAAGAUACUACAGGGACAGGUACCGAACGGCGGUGAUUACGAUACUGCUUUCUAUGCUUUCGGACAGAUUCUAACUCCUUGAGAACUCGAUCUAGUAUUACAGGCAUUUUUACAGGCAAAUCAAUUUCAAGGAAGUAUAGGAGGAACCCAUAAUCUUCUCAUGAACAUUGUACCUGCAAAAGCAUAAUGCAAUAAGCAUUCAACAAUCUGACCUAGUUUGCUCAACAGAUGCUCUAAGAUAUUCCAAAACAAAGUCACAGCAAUUUCACAUAGGAUACCAGGUGGGGAGGAUACAAUCAUUAACAAUUUCAAAAGCUUUAAAUGCAAAAAAUCAGUGAACAUAAUCAAAUCCAAUACGUCAAUUUUGGCCUAGAUUGAAAUGAAAAAAAACAAGGAAAUGCUUUGUGUAUCGAUUUGUUUAUGAAGGAAAUAAAACAUAUUUCAUGGAAAUAAAACCUGUGGUUACUUUUGUCUUCCUCUGCCAUUUGUCUAUCGAUUUGUUUCUGAAAGUGGCUAUUCUACAACAUACAGCAUGACAGGUCUUAGUUAGACCAAGUAACCGGCAUGGAAAUGCUUUCUGAAGCAAGAAUAUGAACUCAAGAGCUUUGUGCCAGAGAGACUUCAGAAAAAUGAAAAAAACAACAUAGAAUAUACAACAACAACAACAACAACAAAGCCUUUUCCCACUAAGUGGGGUCGGCUAUAUGAAUCCUAGAACGCCAUUGCGCUCGGUUUUUGUGUCAUGUCCUCCGUUAGAUCCAAGUACUCAAGUCUUUUCUUAGGGUCUCUUCCAAAUUUUUCCUAGGUCUUCCUCUACCCCUUCGGCCCUGAACCUCUGUCCCGUAGUCAUUUUCGAACCGGAGCGUCAGUAGGCCUUCUUUGCACAUGUCCAAACCACCGGAACCGAUUUUCUCUCAUAUUUCCUUCAAUUUUGACUACUCCUACUUUACCUCGAAUAUCCUCAUUCCCAAUCUUAUCCUUUAUCGUGUGCCCAUACAUCCCACGAAGCAUCCUCAUCUCCGCUACACCCAUUUUGUGUACGUGUUGAUGCCUCACCGCCCAACAUUCUGUGCCAUACAACAUCACUGGCCUUAUUGUCGUCCUAUAAAAUUUUCCCUUGAGCUUCAAUGGCCUACGACGGUCACACAACACGCCGGAUGCACUCUUACACUUCAUCCAUCCAGCUUGUAUUCUAUGGUUGAGAUCUCCAUCUAAUUCUCUGUUCUCUUGCAAGAUAGAUCCUAGGUAGCGAAAACGGUCACUUUUUGUGAUCUUCGCUAGAUUGCUCCGGUCAUUAGUGUGGAUAAGUAUAUAAAUGGAUAGAAUUAGGAAAGCAAACACAAGAUGUACGUGGUUCACCCAAAUUGGCUACGUCCACGGAAUAGAGGAGUUCUCAUUAAUUGUGAAUGGUUUACACAAGUACAUAGGUUCAAGCUCUCCUUUAGUGAGUACAAGUGAAUGAUUUAGUACAAAUGACAUUAGGAAAUAUUGUGGGAGAAUGAUCUCGUAACCACGAAACUUCUAAGUACCGGAGUGUGGUAUCGUCUUGACUUGCCUUAUCUGUCUCAUAGGUAGAUGUGGCAUCUUCUCUGGAAGUACUCUUCCUCCAUCCAGGGGUGGUAUCUGUAACUGGUGGAGAUGCACAAGGUAAUGUAUCAAUUUCACUUGAAGCUUACUUGUAGUUUCAGGCUUGGUCAAGCGCGAUACAAACCAUGUAGUAGGAGUCCCCCAAGUCGCCGGGUUAGGGGAUCUGCUGAAAGAGGUGACAGACAAGGUAAGCAAUCAGAGCUCCAGCUGAUUGUUCAUAUUCUCCCUAUCUUGCAGGCAGCAUGAAGGAUAAAGAGAAGAAAAAUGAGAAGAGAUGAUAUGGGAUACUUUUGCUUUUGAAGAAGUAACUUUCCACAGGCUUAUUCUUGAACCGGGCUGCAGGGUUUUCUGGUUUCCUCCAGAGUAUAAGGCCGACUGAAGAAUUUGAGGGUGAAAACAAGUUCAUCAAAUCUAGAGUACGUUCGACCCUGCUGAUAUGGGAUACUUUUGCUUUUGACAGAGUAGUGGAUGUAUCGGCACGUGUGCUGUUACGCUUGUCUCCACAUGCUUCAUUGUAUCCUUCUCACUUGCCCUAUCUGUUCCUCAGGCAGAUCCGGUAUCUUCCCUGGAAGCAUAAGAUGUUGAAGAUGAGUACUCGAGAGCAAUGCCAGGUAAGUAAUCAGGUAAGGGGUUCCAGGCAGUCAGUUCCUGGCUGGAAGCUUGAUUCCAAGUGCUGACUGAUUGCUCUCGUUCUCCUUGUCUUGCAGGUAAGAACAAGGCCAAAGGAAAAGACAGGGAAAAAGCAUGAUAUGGGAUACUCUUACUUUUAACCCUAAUGAUAAGAACAAGGCCAAAGGAAAAGACAGGGAAAAAGCAUGAUAUGGGAUACUCUUACUUUUAACCCUGAUGAUAUGAGAUAUUCUUGCUCUAGUAUAGCUUGUUUACAGAGGUAUUAUCGAGGGGAAAUAAAGCUGAAUAUUUCGAAAGGCUUCGUUGGGAGUGCCCUCUCAGAUAAGAGAAAGGGUUGAGCAUUUUUGCAAGUCUGCCUGUCCGUUAGGGAUGGAGGUCGACAUAUAUAGGAGUCUCCCUAACAUCAAGUAAUAAUGUUAUUCCUUUACCCUGCUUGGUCAUAACACGGUAGUGGGAGCUGCCAGCUUCACAUGUUUUAACUAUGUCAGAGCACUUUGAAAAAGUGGUCUGUGGUAUCUAGAAAGCUGAUGUUGCGUGUGAAGAUUACAGACAAGCUUUAUCCAAGGAGAUCCAGCUUUUGAAGUUGGGAAAGUGGUGCCUCUUCGGUUUUCGAACAAGCAAUCCUGUCGGGGAUCUGGCUCUCGAGAUUCGGAGAACGAUGCCUCUUCGAUUUUUGAGAAAGCGAUCCUGCUGGGGGUCUGGCUCUCGAGAUUCAGAGAGCGGUGUCUCUUCGAUUUUUGAGAAAGUAAUCAUGUUGGGAGUCUGGCUCUCGAGAUUCGGAGGGCGGUGCCUCUUCGAUUUUGGAGCAAGCAAUCUUGUUAGGAGUGUUUUCUCGAAUGUGAGUAAAGGUUGGGCAUGUUUGCUAGUCUACCUUGCCACGAAGCACAGAGGUUGACACACAGGGACUUUCCAAUUAUCCAGCAGUGGUACUGUUCCUUUACCCUCUCUUCGAUUUUUGAGAAAGUAAUCAUGUUGGGAGUCUGGCUCUCGAGAUUCGGAGGGCGGUGCCUCUUCGAUUUUGGAGCAAGCAAUCUUGUUGGGAGUGUUUUCUCGAAUGUGAGUAAAGGUUGGGCAUGUUUGCUAGUCUACCUUGCCACGAAGCACAAAGGUUGACACACAUGGACUUUCCAAUUAUCCAGCAGUGGUACUGUUCCUUUACCCUCUCUUCGAUUUUUGAGAAAGUAAUCAUGUUGGGAGUCUGGCUCUCGAGAUUCGGAGGGCGGUGCCUCUUCGAUUUUGGAGCAAGCAAUCCUGUUGGAAGUGUUUUCUUGAAUGUGAGUAAAGGUUGGCAUGUUUGCUAGACUACCUUGCCACGAAGCACAGAGGUUGACACACCGGGACUUUCCAAUUAUCCAGCAGUGGUACUGUUCCUUUACCCUUGUGGGUAAUAAUAUGGUAGCUAGACCUUCAAAAUUUGUGUCUAAACUUUGUUAGUGUUGUUUCUUUGUAAUUCUUUUACCCUUCUUGGUCAGAGCGAUGUAGCGGGAGCUGCAAGCUUCACGUGUCUCAACUUUGUCAGAGAACUUUGGCAAAGUUAUCUGUGGUACCCAUGAGUUACUGUUGCGUAUGGGAAGUGGGUGAUUGAACAGUACAAUUCAUGUGCUUUCUACUUCGCCAGAAAUCUUCGACAGAAUGCCCAUAAUUUCCGCAAAGCUGAGUGUGCGUGUGACAGGUGCUGACAAGGCUGGAAAAGUAUGUGCCUCUUCGAUUUCUAAGAUCGGCCUUCGUGGUCUCUUAGCAGCCCAGCUUUUGAGAAAGCAAGCCUCUUCGAUUUCUGAUAUCGGCCUUCGUGGUCUUUGAGCAGCCCAGCUUUUGAGAAAGCAAACGCCUCUUCGAUUUCUGAGAUCGACCCUCGUGGUCUCUGAGCAGCCCAGCUUUUGAGAAAGCAAACGCCUCUUUGAUUUCUGAGCAGGCGCCUCUUCGAUUUCUGAAGCUUCGUCGAGUGCAGAUUUUUAUAGGGGCUGACAUUAAGUUCCAAAGCACACUUGAAUAUCCACCAGUAGAAGCUCCAUUCUUGUACUUCUAAGAUCUUGAUUUGUCCGACCUCUUCUCUCUUCAACACCUUUGAAAAUGUCUGGCCCCUCCGACCGUCGUUUUGACUUGAACCUUGUUGAAGAGGCAGCCCCGCCUUCUCCAGACAACAUAUGGCGCCCAUCCUUCGUCUCCCCUACUGGUCCUCUUACCGUUGGGGAUUCCGUGAUGAAGAAUGGUAUGACCGCUGCGGUAGUGGCCAGGAACCUUCUCACUCCCAAAGAUAACAGACUACUUUCCAAACGGUUUGAUGAGUUGGCUGUUAAGGAUUCUCUGGCUCUCAGUGUUCAGUGUGCAGGUUCUGUGUCUAAUAUGGCCCAACGCCUAUUUGCUCGAACCCGCCAAGUUGAAUCAUUGGCGGUUGAAGUGAUGAGUCUUAAACAGGAGAUUAGAGGGCUCAAGCAUGAGAAUAAACAGUUGCACCGGCUCGCACAUGACUAUGCUACAAACAUGAAGAUGAAGCUUGACCAGAUGAAGGAAUCUGAUGGUCAGGUUUUACUUGAUCAUCAGAGAUUUGUGGGUUUGUUCCAAAGGCAUUUAUUGCCUUCGUCUUCUGGGGCUGUACCGCGUAAUGAAGCUCCAAAUGAUCAACCUCUGAUGCCUUCUCCUUCUAGGGUUUUGUCCAGUACUGAGGCUCCGAAUGAUCCCCCUCCGGUGCCUUCUCUUUCUGGGGCUCUACCGACUGUUGAGACUUCUCCUAAGCAACCUUUGUGAAGGCUCCCUCUUGUUUGUUUAUUUUGACUCAAGUAUAUGUACAUAUUUGUAACUUAUCGGGGAUAUCAAUAAAUAAGCUUUCCUUCAUUUCAACGUAUUGUGUUAAAUACACCAAAGCCUUCUUCGCUAAGUUCUUUGAAUUUUCUUUUGUUGAAGCUUGUAUGUUGAAGCUUUGUGAGUGGAGCAUGUAGGUUGAGGUAGUGUUCCCUUAAUUUCCUGAGUGAGGAAAACUUCUCGGUUGGAGACUUAGAAAAUCCAAGUCACUGAGUGGGAUCGGCUAUAUGAAUCUUAGAACGCCAUUGUGUUCUGUCCUGUGUCAUGUCCUCCGUUAGAUCCAAGUACUCUAAGUCUUUUCUUAGGGUCUCUUCCAAAGUUUUCCUAGGUCUUCCUCUACCCCUUCGGCCCUGAACCUUUGUCCUAUAGUCGCAUCUUCUAAUCGGAGCGUCAGUAGGCCUUCUUUGCACAUGUCCAAACCACCGUAACCGAUUUUCUCUCAUCUUUCCUUCAAUUUCGGCUACUCCUACUUUACCCCGGAUAUCCUCAUUCCUAAUCUUAUCCUUUCUCGUGUGCCCACACAUCCAACGAAGCAUCCUCAUCUCCGCUACACCCAUUUUGUGUACGUGUUGAUGCUUCACCGCCCAACAUUCUGUGCCAUACAGCAUCGCCGGCCUUAUUGCCGUCCUAUAAAAUUUUCCCUUGAGCUUCAGUGGCAUACGGCGGUCACACAACACGCCGGAUGCACUCUUCCACUUCAUCCAUCCAGCUUGUAUUUCUAUGGUUGAGAUCUCCAUCUAAUUCUCCGUUCUUUUUGCAAGAUAGAUCCUAGGUAACGAAAACGGUCGCUCUUUGGUAUUUCUUGAUCUCCGAUCAUCACCCUUAACUCGUUUUGGCCUCCAUUUGCACUAAACUUGCACUCCAUAUAUUCUGUCUUUGAUCGGCUUAGGCGAAGACCUUUAGAUUCCAACACUUCUCUCCAAAGGUUAAGCUUUGCAUUUACCCCUUCCUGAGUUUCAUCUAUCAACAUUAUAUCGUCUGCGAAAAGCAUACACCAAGGAAUAUCAUCUUGAAUAUGUCAUGUUAACUCAUCCAUUACCAACGCAAAAAGGUAAGGACUUAAGGAUGAGCCUUGAUGUAAUCCUACAGUUAUGGGAAAGCUUUCGGUUUGUCCUUCAUGAGUUCUUACGGCAGUCUUUGCUCCUUCAUACAUAUCCUGUAUAGCUUGGAUAUAUGCUACUCGUACUCCUUUCUUCUCUAAAAUCCUCCAAAGAAUGUCUCUUGGGACCCUAUCAUACGCUUUUUCCAAAUCUAUAAAGACCAUGUGUAAAUCAUUUUUCCCAUCUCUAUAUCUUUCCAUCAAUCUUCGUAAGAGAUAGAUUGCCUCCAUGGUUGAGCGCCCUGGCAUGAACCCGAAUUGGUUGUCCGAAACCCGUGUCUCUUGCCUCAAUCUAUGCUCAAUGACUCUCUCCCAAAGCUUCAUUGUAUGACUCAUUAGCUUAAUACCCCUAUAGUUCAUGCAAUUUUGUACAUCGCCCUUAUUCUUGUAGAUAGGCACCAAAGUGCUCAUUCGCCACUCAUUUGGCAUCUUCUUCGUUUUCAAAAUCCUAUUGAAAAGGUCAGUGAGCCAUGUUAUACCUGUCUCUCCCAAAACUUUCCACACUUCGAUUGGUAUAUCGUCUGGGCCUACUGCUUUUCUAUGCUUCAUCUUCUUCAAAGCUACAACCACUUAUUCCUUCCGGAUUCUACGAUAAAAAGAGUAGUUUCGACACUCUUCUGAGUUACUCAACUCCCCUAAAGAAGCACUCCUUUCAUGUCCUUCAUUGAAAAGAUUAUGAAAAUAACAUUUCCAUCUGUCUUUAACCGCGUUCUCUGUAGCAAGAACAUUUCCAUCCUCAUCCUUGAUGCACCUCACUUGGUUUAGAUCCCUUGUCUUCUUUUCCCCUGCUCUAGCUAGUUUAUAGAUAUCCAACUCUCCUUCUUUGGUAUCUAGUCGCUUAUACAUAUCGUCAUAAGCCGCUAACUUAGCUUCUCUCAGCUUUCUUCGCCUCUUGCUUCGCUUUUCUAUACCUUUCACCAUUUUCAUCGGUCAUAUCCUUGUAUAAGGCUUUACAACAUUCCUUCUUAGCCUUCACCUUUGUUUGUACCUCUUCAUUCCACCACCAAGAUUCCUUUUGGUGUGGGGCAAAGCCCUUGGACUCUCCUAAUACCUCUUUUGCUACUUUUCGGAUACAACUAGCCAUGGAAUCCCACAUUUGGUUAGAUUCCCCCUCUCUAUCCCACACACACUGGGUGAUUACUUUCUCUUUGAAAAUGACUUGUUUUUCUUCUUUUAGAUUCCACCAUCUAGUCCUUGGGCACUUCCAAGUCUUGUUCUUUUUUCUCACUCUUUUGAUAUGUACAUCCAUCACCAAUAAGCGAUGUUGAUUAGCCACGCUCUCUCCUGGUAUAACAAGCCAAUAAAACAAUAAUUCACUGUAUAAAUCAUUUUUUCAACUUUAAAGUGUGGCUUAAAAAGAAGCUUUAAACAAGUAGCAAUAAUUUCAUAUUGAAAAAUAAAACCUAUUUCAUGGAUAUUACAAGAGCCAUUAUUUUGAAAAACACACAUUUUGGUUCUUCGCUGCUUGACUUUUAAGAAGAUCUUUGUCCUUGUGACGAUUCAAAUUCUUUAAAAUAUCUCUGCAACGGAAUAAACAAAACCAAUCUAGGCCAAAAUUGACUUGUUCGAUUUGAUUAUGUUCAUUGAUUUUUCUGUUCACAUGUUUACCCCUACUUGCCAUAUAGUUUUGGGGUGUUAGCGCAUAGUGCUCUUCUCUUUACACACCAGUUUUAAUUUUAUUCUUCGUAAAUUAAGAGACCGUUUGAUAAUCAUUUCGUUUUCAAUUUAAAAAAAUAUAAAAAACUAAAUGAAGUUUUCAAAAUUUGACCUAGAAUUUUCGCUUUUGGUUUUCAAUUUUAAUUUUUUUAAAAACAACUGAAAACUAAAAAUAGUUACAAAAAGAAUUUUUCAGUUUUUAAUUUACAAAAAAGUAAAAACUGAAAACUCUAUACUAGACUAAAAAUUAAAAAGUGAAAUCGAAAUGGGCUCUCAACAAAAUUGAAAAAAGACUCGGCUGAAUUACUGAAUUCAAAGCAGGGCUUAUUAACGUUACGAGGCCCAAUGGAUCUAUAUAAAUAUUUUUCGUUUUUUUUUUUUAACAAACGAUAUUAUUUAUAUAGGCUUAAUCUUACCGUAGGCUAACAAUAAUGUGGUUCAAAUUUGUUUUUCGUAAGAAUCGAACUUAAAACUUCUCAUUUACAAAUGAAGACAAAAUCCACUAAACUGUAGUCUUGAGUGGCUCGUUAUUUUAUUUUAUAUUUUAAGAAAAAAGAAAGAAAGCAAUGAAAAGCUGUACAUAAAAUAAAUACAAAAAGGGAUGAAAUGAAGAAGAGUGGGAGACUAACGUUUAAUUCAAGAUAAAGAAAGAAAGGUAAUCGCACCACGACGGCGGCGACGUGGCGGUCAUUUAACGGAAAAUAACAGACAAAUCAGCCUCCAGAUCAAGUCUUGAAGCACAACUCUGAAAAAUCGAGACUACCUACAGCUGAGCUCCGACCAACCGUUGAUGGAUGCAAUCAGGAAGCUCAGAGAUCAGGUCGCCAAGCAACAGCAGGUACUCCCUCUCGUUUGAUUCCGAAUUUGUAUUUCUGUAUGGAUUUUGAUAUGAACAUAAUCUGCGUUGAUUGCGAGAUACUGAGAUUGCUUAAUGAAAUAAUAUUUAUAUAAUUAUUCGAGUUGAAUUGGAUCGAUUCGAAUUCAAAUAGAAUUUCACUAAUUCUGAGCUGUUUGGGGAUGUGUUGGAGUGCAAUGUUGAUGAAUUUCUGAAAUUUUGAGCUAGGUGUUGCUAAUUACUUAUCGAUUUUUGAUGUAACUGGAUGCUUAAUUUUUACAUUUUCGGAAAACUUGAAGCGAAAAUGGCAUAUAAUUCAACGUUCCAUGCUUCAUUAAUGCAUAUGAGUUAGUCGAAGCUUUAUCGAGUUUGCUUUUGAUUAUUUUGUGAACACCGUCAGGCUGUGUUCAAACAAUUUUCUGGUGGCAUAUAUGGGGGAUCGGAUAAUGUUGCCUCGGAUGAAAAUGAAUUUCAACAGCAUCAGAAACUCGAGAAGCUGUACAUAUCAACUCGUGCUGCCAAGGUUGCUACGCUUAUUUUUGUCUGUGCUUUAAACGAGCAUCACGUUAGUUGUGUUACCUAUCGUUUUUUGCUUCUUCUUUAACAGCAUUACCAAAAGGAAAUUGUCCGCGGAGUGGAAGGUUACAUUGUGGCCGGUUCAAAGCACGUUGAAAUAGGUAUGUUGCUUGAAAUGCGUUGUCUUUUCUUGGGAGUUUGGAUAUGAAUUCAUGUUGGUUUUAUCAGUUGGUAUACAUAAUACUUUUUCAACAGGUACCAAGCUAUCAGAAGAUAGCAGGAAAUAUGGUUCUGAAAAGACUUGCACCGGUGGUAACACAUUGUCGAGAGCUGCACUGAGUUUUGGAAGAGCUCGGGCCCAAAUGGAAAGAGAGUGCGGAGUUCUACUGAAAGCCCUUGGCACACAGGUUUAAGUCAAAUUAUUACUAUACAAUGGCUCAUUAAGUAAAAAUCAAAUAUUGCCAGGGCCGGUUUCAUACAAAUGGAAUUUCAACCUACUAAUUUUCGUGUGCAUUUGAUCAUUUCGAAAGAAAUUUACAGUAAAAAUUGUUUCCAUUUUCACGUGUGGUUCAAGAACUGCACUACUUUUUGUGUUAUUAUGCAUCAUAUAAGAGGUCGCACUUGGUGCGAUGGCAAGUGCCUUCGCCCAUGAGCGGUAGGUCUCGGGUUCGAGACUUGGGAGCAGCCUCUCCAUAAAUGGGGGUAAGGUUAGCCGACAUUCACCUCUCCCAGACCCUGCGUAAAGCGGGAGGCUUGUGCACUGGGUACGACCUUUAUGCAUCAUAUGACAAACUGGUUCACCAUUUCUUUCUAUAGGUUUGCAUAAUAACUCUUUCUGUGCUUAUCAAUUUGCCUGUGUAGGUUGUGUUAGGUUUUUGGCUCAAAAUUAGGAUGAUGCAAUAAAUUAGGUUUCUGUUAACUAUUUGGUUUUGGUGUUCUAUUUGGGUUUGGUUUUGACUUCUUAGUUAGUUUCCUUGGUGGAGAGAUUUUGUUAAUUACCUAUUUGAUUUGGAUUUGGAUUUAUUUCAUAUUAGGAUUCUUAUUGUAACCUAAGUCCUAUGCACUAUAAAUAGGACCUUAGGGUUAGUGUAUUUAGUGUGCUUCAUCAUGGUUUAGAGAGCUUUUCUCUAUUUUGGUUUUGGGUGGAGGUCACCGUUUGGAGUCACGAGCGUGGCAAAUUCAUGGCUCAUUCGUUUGGCAAAUUUGGUGAGAGUCAAUUUGUGAGUUUGUGAGUUAGAAAGCAAUUUGGGAGAAUCUUCUCCGUUUGUUUUGAGUUCUCUACUCGUUUGGUUUAGGGUUUGUAAUUUGUGGGAUUUAGGUUGUGAGAGUUUAAACACUCUUUUGUAAUCUCCAUUUGUUUAGUGAAAUUCCUUGCCGUGCUUCGCCCGUGGAGUAGGCUUUACGCCGAACCAUGUAAAUCUCGUGUUAGUUUGAGAUUGUUUGUUUUAGCUUUCACCUAUGACGUUGAUAUUUGGUACUUUGUUAUAAUUCGCUUCCGUUUGCGCAUAAAAGUACAACAAGUGGUAUCAGAGCCCAGGUUUCGGCUUGGGCUUUGCUUAGCAGUCACUCUGAAGCCUUCUGUGUUGAUAUUGAAAAGUUCGAAGGUAAUGACUUUGGUAUUUGGCAAUUGAAGAUGCGUGCUUUGGUAGUUCAAGGAAGGAAUAAGGAAAAGAGCAAACUUGGAAAGAACACUUGUAGCUAUUGUUAUAAGGAAGGCCAUUGGAAAGUAGAUUGCCCUAAACUCAAGGGCAAAAACAAGCCGUUUGAUAAGUCUUUUGCUAAUGUUGAUGCAAACAUUGCAGAAGAUCAUUGUUCUGAACUCCUCUAAAUGUUAUGUGAGGAGGUGGAGCUUGGUACUCAAGCUCUUUGGGUGGAGUGCAAUUCGCACUUUUUGUUCAUAUGUUCAAGCUUUUGCUUGGAUUUUGUUUCGUAUUUGUUAGUUUCCAUAAUGGAAUUUGUUGGAGAAGGCAUUGGAGGAAAUUUCAAGUUUGAAGACUUUUGGAUUUUUUGAGUCUAGGUGGAGAUCAGUUUCAAAAGAAUUUGGUGCACGUUUGCGUUUGUAUUUUGGUAUCCCAAAUUUGGAAGUUUGCUAAUUUCUCGCCGAGGUGGAGAUUGUUAGGUUUUUGGCUCAAAAUUAGGAUGAUGCAAUAAAUUAGGUUUCUGUUACCUAUUUGGUUUUGGUGUCCUAUUUGGGUUGGGUUUUGACUUUUUAGUUAGUUUCCUUGGUGGAGAGAUUUGUUAAUUACCUAUUUGAUUUGGAUUUGGAUUUAUUUCCUAUUAGGAUUCUUAUUGUAACCUAAGUCCUAUGCACUAUAAAUAGGACCUUAGGGUUAGUGUAUUUAGUGUGCCUCAUCAUGGUUUAGAGAGCUUUUCUCUAUUUUGGUUUUGGGUGGAGGUCACCGUUUGAAGUCAUGAGUGUGUGGCAAAUUCAUGGCUCAUUCGUUUGGCAAAUUUGGUGAGAGUCAAUUUGUGAGUUUGUGAGUUAGAAAGCAAUUUGGGAGAAUCUUCUCCGUUUGUUUUGAGUUCUCUACUCUUUUGGUUUAGGGUUUGUAAUUUGUGGGAUUUGGGUUGUGAGAGUUUAAACACUCUUUUGCAAUCUCCGUUUGUUUAGUGAAAUUCCUUGCCGUGCUUUGCCCGUGAAGUAGGCUUUAUGCCGAACCACGUAAAUCUCUUGUGUUAGUUUGAGAUUGUUUGUUUUAGCUUUCACCUAUGACGUUGAUAUUUGGUACUUUGUUAUAAUUCGCUUCCGUUUGCGCAUAAAAGUACAACAGGUUGCAGAGCCUUUAAGAGCAAUGAUAGUGGGAACACCCUUGGAGGAUGCUCGACAUCUAACUCAACGAUAUGCUAGAAUGCGGCAAGAAGCUGAAGCUCAGGUAUAUGCAGUUUCUUCUGUUUCCUACCAAUUUUAUACUACAGUGAUUUUACAUGUUACAUGGUGAUCAUACAUUUCUCGGUUAACUUUUUUUGUUUUCUUUUAAAAGUGUUUGUUCAUUUUGAGACAAUCAUGCAUUGGUAUUUAUAGAGAACGCAAAAUCUUAAGAUGUUUAAUGUAACUUGUUGAGAUUGCUUCAUUACUUGAAGCUUUGUUGUAAUUUGGUUUUUGUUUUUUUUUUAUUACUCCUUCAGAUUUGUCUAUAUAUACUAACUUGCACCGGGAUAGGCUAUAGAUGUUUCCAGACGCCAGGCCAAAGUACGGGAUUCUGCAGGUAAUGCUGACAUUAUCAUGAAACUAGAAGCUGCUGAAGCCAAGCUUCAGGAGCUGCAGUCUAGCGUUGCAAUAUUGGGAAAAGAAGCUAGUGCAGCUAUGGCUGCUGUUGAAGGUCAACAACAAAGAUUGACUCUUCAGCGGCUUCUUGCGAUGGUAAAGGAUUGCCUUCUCCUUUUUAUUUAAGUGUUAAGACCUUGGCCUGUUCUAGUUACAAGACUGAAAAGGAAAUUAAUUUUGUAAAUUUGUGAUUUUUCGUCCCCAUUCAAGGUUGAAGGAGAACGCAACUAUCAUCAGAACGUUCUUUAGAUACUUGAUCAGCUUGAAGGCGAGGUAUGAAAUAUCCUAAAGUCUUCCUUUCAGCAUGACAAUUUCUUUUCCCAAUUCAUUUGGCUGUAUAUUAUUCUAGUGUCUUGCUACUAAAAGCAGAGAUCAUUGACAGUAUUUGUUGGGACAGAUUUUAUCAGAAAAGCAGCGAAUUGAAGCAUCGCAUAGUCCGCCUACCGAGGACACUAUGCCUCCACCACCAUCGUAUGAGGAUCUCGGCCGUAGCUUUGCUUCUGAAACCUGUGAUGAAUUGACAGAGUUGAGGGACUCUUCUCUUUCUUAGGAGAGGUAUCUUUAUGCUAUUGUUGUUGUAUCCAAGUUUUAGUCUGUUCGACUCUUUAGUUUCUAGUAACUGUUUCUUUUCGCCUACCGCAGGUUAUUUACACCUUCCACGCUGUAACUGAUGUGGAGUUAAGUUUGUCAUUCGGGAAUUACGUUGUCGUCCGGAAGGUUCUGUCGUCUUUCCUGCUUGCAUGCUUUCAUCUUAUAUUCAUGUUCGGAUUUAUUUCUUUCGUAUUGAGGUUAAAUUUUCAUGUUCAAAGACGUUCACUCAGGUAUGUUCGUCAAUGCAUAGGCAUUAGCACACCACCGAGUGCAUUAGAAUAUGGAUUUCAGUUUUGGGUGCUGCAUGCAUUAAUGUAGUUUGUCUGGUUUUGGUUAUUGCUGCCGCUGAGCAUGAGUGGCUUUCUGUAGUUGCUGAGAGUUAUAUUGUGAGCAUAAUUCAUACAGCAGCUUUCAUAUACGGCACAUGUAGUCGGCAGCACUGCAUUUAGAAAGAGAAAGUUAUAUUUUCUUCACUGUUUAUUGAAAACUUAUAUGUUGCAUGUUCUGACUUUUAAAGUGAGUCGGCAUCAGAGUUUUUAUUUGAGAAAAAUCAGUUUUGUGUCCAUGUGUUUUCAAAGAAAAUAUUUUAGUUUUUAAUCACUGAUUUUUCAUUGUGCUUCAAUUAGAAAUCAAUUAUGAGAAUGUGCCUUGUGAUUUUCGUAAUUGGUUGAUUUCAAAAAAUCUUUACAUUUCAUACAUUCUGCAUGAUCACAUUAGGAUCUUGCAAAGUUCAAGGACACAGUGAUUGACUGUCGCGUUAGUGUCGUGCCACUUUCACUUGAAAGCUGAAGAGAGAUCGAGUAGCAAAGCUCAAUGAAAAAAAUUGCCUACUAGUAUGUGGGUCUAGUUAAUGAGUUUUGUAAGUCUUUCUAUACUCAUUUGUCCUGGCUUAAGAGUUUGAGGAUUUUCUCAGUGAUGAGUUUUACCUUGUUAAAUCCUACAUCAUGUGUACACAUGUUAUUUGUCUUUUUAAUUGCAAAUGUGUAGGAUAAUCUUUCACUUAUUUUCUUGUAGUGAACUCUAUCUUAGACAUUCAUCAACAUUUAGAGUUUACGACAGAGGACUUUGCUACCAUAUUAUCAGUGCAUUGAUUAAUUUGUAAAGCGCCCAUUUAUCCUAAUUAUAAAAUAUAUCCUAAUUAUAAAAUAUAAUCUGUACAAGACAUUAACAGUUUGGAUGUCAUGUAUGGCCACAUCCUUUAUUUUCAGAAUAAUGCUAUUCAUACCAUGUUUUUAUAUCAUAUUUAUAUACCACUUUAAGUGGCAUCUGAUGUAAACAACCACAUCAUUUGAAAAAUUUGCAAAACCCAAGGAAAGGAAAGAGAAAGACUCUUUGUAUACCAUAAUCGUCAUUUAAUUAACUAAUUUUUCUUAAUUAUUAGUUUAUUAAAUAAUGAACUAAAUUUAAAAAUCUGAUUAAUUCAAAUUAUGUGUCAGUUCACAUCACAUCAAAUGCCACCGAAAAUGGUAUGAAAAUGUUGUAUAAAAAUAUGGUAUGAAUAACAUUACUCUUAUUUCCACCAUUCUUAUCAACUGGAUGGGGAUAGAUUGUCUUUAUCUCACAAACCCAUAAUGUGGCAAUCGUCCAUUAGAAAGGUAAUGUACGUUUUGAAAAUCGUGGUAAAUAUUGAAUGAGUAAUGACGCCUCUAAAAAUAAAAUUUAGUUAUUUGAAAGAAUCUUUCAUAAAAUAAAGUAACGAAUAAUCAACAAAAGUAGCAGUACACCAAGUUGAAUCCUUUUCAACGUUGAAAUGAAAUAUGAAAGUAGAUCAAGUUUAUAUUAUUCAUCUACUUUUUAUUUUAUUUUAAUAAACGAUAUUAUCUACACUAAAGAGAUAGAGUUGGUUAAGCCUCACAAUGGACUAGCAAUAAUAUGGUUCAAAUUCACAUUUGACGAGAAUCAAACCAAGUGAAGAGAAAUAUCAUUAGACCGUAACAUUAUUCAUCAACUUUUAAAUUCAUCCACUUUUAAAUAAUAAACAAUCAAGAAAAACAUUGCACGCGGUCCCCUCUCGUCACUUACCACUAGUGCCAUCACUUACCUGAGCAAAAGAGAUAUUUCUAAUUGCUUGACCCAAACAAGCAUUGAGUUCAUCCAUCAAUAACAGGUCCACAUCUCAACCCAAAUAUAAUAACGUCAAAGGAGAGGGGAAAAUGAGAAGGAAACUCUGGAGGGUAGAGGGAAGGAAAAGGAGAAAAGGACAAAGGAGAAAAGGACAAAGGGAGAAGGGAAAAGUAGAAAGGGAAGGAGGACCACAGUAGAAAAUAUCGAUAAUAUCGGUGAAAUAUCGCCGAUAUUAUCGUUUUUUUGGGACCCCGAUAUUUUAGUAACUAUCCAACUUGUUUUCGGCAGAAUAUCGCGAUAUUAUCGAUAAUAUCGAUAAUAUCGCGAUAUUUUCGAAACUAUCGCGAUAUUUGGUAUGGACUCAUCGGAGAACACGGCCGGAGCAAAUAAUCCGAAACCCUAAAUCCCCAAAUGCUAAAUCAAAGCAAAUGAACUGAAUCUACAAUACAGGAUUCCGAGAAGAACGAUUUCAGUACAAAAUUCAACAUGUUUACAAGCCGAGAAGAACGAUUUCAGUACAAAAUUCAAAGCAAAUGAACCGAUUCCCUAAAUCCCCAAAUUCGGAUUCAAAGCAACUGAACUAAAUCCCUAAUUCCUAAAUCCCUAAAAUCUAUUUCAGUACAAAAAUCAAGCAACAUGCAGAUAAAUCGCAAUCUGUACAAAAAUAGAAACCCUAAUUCCUAAAUCCCUAAAAUCAAUUUCAGUACAACAAAGGUGCAACAUGCAGAAAAAUUGAAAUCUGUACAAAAAUUUAAAGUAAUAGAGGGGAAGAAGAGAAGUAGGAGCCUGGAACAUCGUCUUCCUCACGAAUCCAAGACGGCUGGGACAAGUUCGUGCUCCUCAGUGGUGUCGACGGCUUGGACUACGGAGACAGAGGGAGACACGGAGACACGGACGGUUAUGGAGUGGUGUCGACGGCUGGGUUUAGGGCGGGUGAGAUAGGAGGAGCAGAGGGAGACAGGGAGACACGGAGACACGGACGAGGAGGAUCGAGAUUUGAGAGAUGAUGUCUCUGUGUGUGUGUGGAAGAACUGGAGAAGGGGGAAGGGAGGGAGAAGACUGAGAACUUCUCGGUGAGAACGAAGGCUCAGACCGACCUCAGAGAGAAAAGAGAGAAGAGAGAGACUGAGAGGAUUCGAGAAUAUGGUAGUGGAGUGGGAAAUGAAAGAUCGAGAGAGAGACCUCCGUGUGUGGUGUACGUGUGUGGUGUGCGUGUGUGGUGUGGUGGGGGGGUCUCGAAGUGUGUGUGUGGUGGAGUGUGAGUUCUUCAGUCUUUUUGACUGUCUGAGUGAUGGUGUCUAAGAAAAAAAAAGCAUCCAAUGCUCCAAAUUAUUCAAAACCAAAUCAUUCCAAACCUAUGUCUACCUCUCUGAUCCAAUGAUCCAAAGAACUUUUUUGCAAUUUCAGAACAUGCACAACAAAUACUACUGCUUUAAUAAUGAAAGCGUGUGACAGUCUUUCACAUGCAAAACAGUGUCAAUGUCUGUUAUAUACUUACAUUCUUUCAUCAUCAGAGGCAUUCACCGAAUUUUAACUUACAUUCUUCUUCCCAUACCAUUUUCAAAACCAUUCCAGAUCCUUUCCAAAGCCAAGCAACACAAAGGCUUCCAUAUUUAAGGUAAGUUUACAAACUUAAAUUUAUAUUAUUGUAAUUUAUAUACAAAAACAAAUAAAUUUGUGUGCACUCGUAUGUUAAUUUUUUUAAGUAAUUACUUGCAUGUUAAUUAUGUUAAUUUUUGUAAGUAAUUAAGUAAUGUUAAUAUUAAUUGUUUUAAGUAAUUAAGUAAUGUUGUAUAAUUAUUCCCUAGGAUAAUUUUAAUAUGUUUAAUAUUAUUUAUUAUUUUAUUUCUCUUACCAUCUUCAUUAUCAAAUUGGAUUAUUAUUCAUUAAUAUUAGGUUUUUUUAUUAUCAAAUUGGAUUAUUAUUCUUUAAUAUUAGAUUUUUUUAUUAUCAAAUUGGAUUAUUAUUCUUUUAUAUUAGGUUUUUUUAUUAUCAAAUUGGAUUAUUAUUCUUUUAUAUUAGGAAUUUUUUUAUCAAAUUGGUGGAUUAUUCAUUAAAUUUGAUUAUUAUCAAAUUGGAUUAUUAUUCAUCACCAUGUUUUAUAUUAGGAUAAUUUUUUUAUCAAAUUGGUGGAUUAUUCAUUAAAUUGGAUUAUUAUCAAAUUUGGAAUAUUAUUCAUCACCAUGUUUUAUAUUAGGAUAAUUUUUUUAUCAAAUUGGAUUAUUUCAUUAAAUUGGAUUAUUAUCAAAUUGGAUUAUUAUUCAUCACCAUGUUUUAUAUUAGGAUAAUUUUUUUUAUCAAAUUGGUGGAUUAUUCAUUAAAUUGGAUUAUUAUCAAAUUGGAUUAUUAUUCAUCACCAUGUUUUAUAUUAGGAUAAUUUUUUUAUCAAAUUGGUGGAUUAUUCAUUAAAUUGGAUUAUUAUCAAAUUGGAUUAUUAUUUAUCAAAUUGGAUUAUUAUUCAUCACCAUGUUUUAAUUUAGGAUAAUUUUUUUAUCAAAUUGGUGGAUUAUUCAUUAAAUUGGAUUAUUAUCAAAUUGGAUUAUUAUUCAUCACCAUGUUUUAUAUUAGGAUUUUUUUUUAUCAAAUUGGAUUAUUAUUCAUUAAAUUGAAUUAUUAUCAAAUUGGAUUAUUAUUCAUUAAUAUUAGGUUUUAUUAUUCCAUAUUAUUUGUAUAAUUACUUAACUUUUUACAAUCAUUUUCUUUACUUUGUAUUUAAUUCUUCUGUAGAAUAACUUUAUUAUUUAGGUUCUCUUAUUUUUAUCAAAAAAUAAUUGUCUAAUUUUAAUGAAAAAUAAAUAUAGGUACAUUUAAUGUUAUAACCCUUACCCAAAAAAUAACCUAGUUUACUUUGGGCCAGGCUAAUCCCUUUGUGUUUUAAUGUAAGGCCCGAGUUUUUCUUUAAUUUUCUUAAGCCCAAGGUUUAUUCAACCCGUGAACCUCAUCUCCUUCCUCUCUCUUUUCUGAAAAGUCAUCUCUCUCUUUCUUUGUUUCUUCCCUCUCUCUCUCUAACUCUCACUCUCUAAAACCCGAGAGAAGAGAGCUCUCACCCUCCCACUUACCUUCACCACCAAGCCCUAUUUUCUACAUAUUCGGAGUCUGUGGGAUGCAAGGAUCACGAUGGUGGUCUUGCAUGUGAUAUCACUGCAGUGAGGACCUCGGCACCAUUAAAGUUGAGAGCUCCAUAGCUCUCAAAGCUUGAACCCAGGUGAACUAUGCCUUCUUCUCUAAAUUUCUGGGUUUAUGAAUGAUAUUUUAAUCUAUGUGAUUAUUAAGUUUAUCCCGUUAUUUCAAGAUUAAGGACGAAACCAUCGUGGGGGAAAGCUCACCCAAACUUUCCGGCGAACCCGUGACUCUCGAGGGAUUUUCCGAGCACACCGGGCCGUGUCACGGUGAAGCAAGGGUACAUUAAUACUCCUCUCUCUCCCCACUUCAUUUUGUUAUGUAGUUUGGACCUUGAGAUGCUCGUUCGUCGUCGACCGGAGCUAUAAUAGCUCCGGUGUUCUUCCCCGGUCAGCUCGCAAGCCUUCAGGCCGUUUAGGACACCCACGGGCCUUAGGCCCAUAUUGGUUCAGCCCUUUUUGCGUAUGGGUGGGUGUAAAUGUGCGAAUGUAUGCUGUGUGUGUGUAUGCAUGUUCGUGCGUAUGUAUGUGCAGUGUGGGUUCGGUGUGUGUCUGUGCGUGUUUGUCCAUGUGAGUGUGUGCGUUUGGUAAGUGUGCAGGCCGUGCAUGUGUGGGUGUAUGUGUAGUGCAUAUGUGCAGUGUGUGAAUAUGUAUAUGUGUGUGUGUGUGCUGGUGCGUAAGUAUAUGUAUGUGUGUGUGUUUAUAUAUAUAUAUAUAUAUGCAUUUGUGGGUGCAGCGCAUGCUAAUGCAUGCUGUGUGUGUUUAUAUAUGUAUCUAUAUAUAUAUAUAUAUAUAUAUAUAUAUGCAAGAGUGUGUGUGUGCAGUGCAUGCUUUGCAUGUAUGUGUGUGUGGGUGAGUAUGGGUUGGGCUCAAGCCCAAACCACCUUUUGAUCCUUACCUAUCCAAAUCCAAGGUCCAUUUCCAUUUCCUAGAAUUAUAUUGUUGGGUAGUUUGAUUAACUGUACGUUCUUGUACUUAGGGACACUUAUCGCGACGUUUCUGUCUUCGCUAGUGGCGCAGCUUUUGACGGAGUAUCUGUGAGUGGACCACCUUCGAAAAUUGCAUGUUUUAUUGAUAGAAUUGCAUAAUUUAAUAGCAUGCCUUACAGAAUUAUUUGAUUUGAGGAUUGAUGAAAUUAUGCUACGAAGUUGUAUUUUAGAGAUGAAUUAUGUUUUGUGCGUACCUAGUGAACACUAUGCCGCCUGGGGCGAGGAUCUGGUGUUGGCAUUGAGGCCGGGAGAAAUAAUCCCUAGCGAAAGGCUGAGGGACACGGAGACAGGCAUUGGGCCGGGAGGGAGAUAUCUCUGGCUACGGGCACAGAGACUGAGGUGCAGGCAUUGGGCCGGGAGUAUUGUUAUUCAGUGCACUCACUAGCAGCACAACUUAUGUUAUGCUUCCUGAUACGAUUUCUGAUAUGAUUUCUGAUAUGAUUUUAUGAGAUUGAUUUGCAGAGAGAUAUAUGAAUUGUUUUUAUGGCAUGCUAGUGGUUUUGAGAAACCUAUCACUUAUUAUUUAGUAGUUUUCAUUAUCUUAACUGUGGGGGUUAGUAUGUUCAUAACUAUUUUUGUACUACGUAUGUAUAUAAACUUGGUCCACUCACCCUUGUUUUGCGCCCCCAUUCAGGACUUAGGAUGAAGGCACAUAACCCCGGCAACAAGGUACUUCCGCAGCGGCAUCUUCGAGUCCUCUCGGGGUAGGACCCACUCAUUUGUUCAUUCAAUCUUAUCUUAAUUCUUAUUAGUGACUAGGUUUAGUUAUAUGCUCUGAACACGUUCCUAAAUUGUUAAUUCAUUGUUUUUAAAUUCAUAACCUGUAUUUAUUUCUUAUUCUUAGCUUUUGUAUCAAUUAAUGGCUUUCGUCACCCCCGGGUGUCGGCCAGCACGUGUCGGUCCUGGUAUUCGGGGAAUAUCAGGGUCGGGGCGUGUCAUUUAAGAUGUCAAGUAAACGUGAUCCAGCUUGGGAACAUGGAGACCCAAUAGACGGAAACAAACAUGGCACAAUUUGCAAAUAUUGUGGUCGGGUAAUGAAGAGUGGCGGAGUGACACGACUGAAGUAUCAUCUUAGUGGAUUAGAUCCAUCAAAAAAUGUCCAACGAUGCGAUAAUGUCCCCCCAGAAGUGAAGGCAUUCAUCAGCACAUUAUUAAAAAAUAAAAAACAGCAGAAGGAAAAGAUGACACAAGGAAUGGAAAAUAUUCGAGCUGAGCUACGGGGAGAAGUCUAUGGCCAAGCGGUUGACAGUGAUGAUGAUGACGAUGAGGACGAAUGUGAUGAUGACAUGGGACCUGAAGAACGACGCAGUUUGAAACAAGCAUUACGUGCCUCCAAACAGUCAGCAUGGGAAAGAGAACACCUUCAUAAAAUUCCUAAUAGGGGACAAGGUUCCGGGACAAGUGGUGGUGCACAAAUGAGACGGGGAGGCAGUCUUAGAGAAUCACAACCAACACCACCAAUAGCCCCAAGUUUAUAUAAGUCAUCCAACGCACGUCAAAAGAGUGUUUGGAGUUAUUUCAAGGGAGGUAAUGUGAAGGAGGGAAUGGGGCGUCUAAUUAGCAAGUUCUUUAUCUAUGAAAAUGUCCCUGCUGCGAAGGCUUCAUCACAUCAUUUCAAAAAUAUGGUAGUGGGAUGUCAACAGGCCGGUGUUGGAGUACAACCUCCCACUCCCUAUGAGAUAAGAAACAAAUAUUUGGAUAUGGAGUAUAAAGACAUUGGCGAGUAUGUUAACAAGUUGAGGUCAAAGUGGGAAACUAAUGGUUGCACAAUCAUGUGUGACGGAUGGACCGGCCCCCGACCAGAUUAUCUAUCAUCAACUUCAUGGUAUAUUCCAAGGGCAAGACAAUUUUUUUGAAGUCUGUUGAUGCUUCAGACCAUAUAAAGAAUUACAAAUAUAUUUACAAAUUAUUGAGGGAUGUAAUCAUGGAGGUGGGAGAGCAUAAUGUUGUCCAAGUCGUGACCGACAACGGUUCUGCAUUUGUCAAAGCUGGAAAAAAGUUAAUGAAGCAUCAUAAUGUGUUUUGGACAUCAUGUGCAACACAUUGUAUUGAUCUUAUGUUUGAGGCAAUGGGGAAGAGAGAGAAUGUUGCUACUGUGGUCAAAAGAGCUAGAACGAUCACUAAUUUAUAUUUACAAUCACGGUUGGUUGUUGGCAAAGAUGCGUGAAUUUUGCAGAGGAGAAAUUAUUCGUCCAGCUACCACUCGAUUCGCCACCAACUAUAUUGCAUUAAACAGCCUACUCAAGAAGAAAGCAGGGUUGAAGCAACUAUUCACCAGUGAUGAUUAGGCCAACCACAAUUUUAGCCGCUCAAAUACAGGUCGUUUGGUGGAAAGUAUAGUGCUUGAUCAUGCUUUUUGGAGUCAAACAGAACAUGUGUGUCAAGUGUUUGAACCUCUUUACAAAGUUUUACGGAUCGUUGACACAGAAGUGUAUCCCUACUAUGGGGGCUGUAUAUGAGUUGAUGCGUGUAGUGAAGGAUGAAUUGGAAAGAAAACAUGGUGCAAGGUGGGUCGUAAAAAUAAUUGAAGACCGAUGGUAUAAAACAUUAUACCACGAUUUGCAUGCAGCAGGUAUAAAUUAUGUCAUAAUUUGCAAUUCAUUUCUUUAGUUGCAUAAAUAUUAUUUAUCUUAUUAGAGUAUGUGUUUCUUUGAAACAGCAUAUUAUUUGAAUCCCCGAUACCAAUACAGACCCGGUGUUGGAGAUGAUGGUACCCUUAUACGUGCUGUACAUAAUGUAUACUCUAAAUUAGACCCUGCAUCACCAGCAGUUGGCCAAUUUGGAAAUGAGGUACACAAUUACUUAAAUUAUAAUAAUUACUUUGUUGGAUUAAACUAACACAAUUUAUUGUAUUCAGCUAACAUGGUUUAAAGAUGCAAGAAGAACAUUUGGAGAACCAACAUCAGUUGCUGCUCGAACAAAUAUGUCUCCUAGUGAGUAUAAACAUAUUUCACUAUAAGUUUUAUAAUAGAAUUUUUGUUGGAGUUAUUAGGCUUAUCAACAUUAUUUUUCAUUGUAGCUGAAUGGUGGAUCAUGUAUGGGACCGAUGCACCAACUGUGAGAAAGUUAGCAAUAAAAGUAUUAUCACAAACAGCUUCCUCAUCAGCUUGUGAAAGAAAUUGGAGCACAUUUGCACUCAUCCAUACAAAGCAAAGAAAUAAGUUGGCUCAUAGUAGCUUGGAAAAAUUAGUUUAUUGCUACUACAACAUGAAGCUUCAAAUUCGAGAUAAGGAAGCAAGAAUCGAUCAUGUCGACCGUGGUGACCCACUAGAUGUGUUUGAUAUUGUUGGUGAAGAUGAUGAUAUGGAGGGUAACCAACUUUUUCAAUGGAUUAGACCUCUUCAUUUAGAUGAUGAUGAAGGCAACCCAGCUCCCAGAGUUGCUGAAGAAGCACGUAAUGAAGGGAUAAAUGUAGAAAGAGUAUUAGAGGAGGAGGUGGGAUCUAGCAGCGCUGACUCUUUCGAAGAACUUUUGCACCCAAUGCCAAGCAACACUGGAAUUCCACCUUUUUCUAAUCCUACACAACCACAACAUCGUGCUGAUACUAAUGAUAGCUCUAGUACAAGAUCAGGAGACUCACCUACCACCGGAGGUGGGAAUGAUGAAGGAAAUAGUGGAGCUGGAGGUAGUGGAGCUGGAGGUAGUGGUGGUGGAUAUGGAAACUAUUAUGGACCACCACCUCCCGGAUAUAUGAGCCCCUUCACUGGUGAGGCAAACUUCACGCAUGCAACACAAGAUGAUGACCAUGGCAGUAGGCGGGCAAGACCAGGAAUUGGUGCCAUAGGGAAGGACUAUACUCGCAGAGAAAGAGGCAAAGGGAUUUUGUCAAGUCAAGAAGAUGACUCGUUAUCUAGAACUUCAGACUCUUUUGGAUUGGGAAGUAGUAACUAUGGUUAUACUCAUAACCAACCAUUUCCCUACCCUUCAUAUCCCAUUCCUGUUGGGAUGGAAUCGAGCGACUCAUGGAAUCAAUCCCAGCCUCAAUCUUCAAAUGAUUUUUCUUAUGGACAACCUCAACCAAUCUCGGAUCCAUAUGGGUGGCAUAUUAACAAUUACAUGCAAAACUAUUUUGGGGAUUUAUCAUUUGAUAACUACUCUUCACAAUACACUCAUUCUACACAUAGAGAUGAUGAAGAUAGUGACAAAUUUGAACCUCAUAGGAACUCUAUGUGGUACUAAAGUGUAAAAUAUUGUACUAAUUCAUUAUAUAUAAAUGAUUAUGGUGUGUUUAGACUUCUUUCAUUAAUUACUACAUAUUUUCUACACUCAUAAUGUUUGUCAGAUCGCUAUAUAAUCAACUUGAUAAUGUUAAAUCCAUCAUGCAAUGCAUUUCCUUCCAAUUUUUUGUGAUAAACUAAUAGAUAAUUGACUAAAUAAACAUCCUACAAAGUUUCAAUACAAAUUUCCAAGUUUUUCUUACAAUUUCCGUGGUUUCCAUGUAAUUUUUAUCGAUAUCGAUAUUUUACCGAUAUUUCCAUCGAUAUUUCCGUGUUUUCGGACUACCGAUAUUUCCGAUAUCACCGAUAUUUUCUUCCUUGAGGAGGACAAUGAGAGGAAAUUUCGGAGAAUAGAGAAAAGGAGAAGGGAAAAGUAGAAAAGGAGAAGAGAAGGGAUAAGGGGAAGGAAGCUUAGGAGGGUAGGCAGACGAAAAGAGGGAAAUGCAUAAAAAUAAAAAAUAAAAAAGGAAAGUUGACUUCAUCAUUAUGUCUCCUAGCGGAAAGGAGCAAUCACAUUGUAAAUUAUAUUUCGUAUAAUGAGAAAUUAGUAUUCCUACUCGAGGAUAUAGACACAACUUGUCGAAUCUCGUUACUAUACAGCAAGUCUAUAAUUGCACAACAAUUUGAUUAACCACCUUAAGUUCAUCCAUAUGUACUAAGAUUCAAGUUUUUCCAAACUUUCCUUAUGAAACUAACUGAACAUUACAAGUGCCUCAUUAUUAUGCGGUUCGAUCAAGUUUUAAUUUUUGUCUCAUAACCACAUUAUCUUUAGGACAAUAAUCUUGUGGUUGAAUAUAAAAACCUUCGACAUGGUGAUCAAUGGCGGAGCCAAGUUAAGGGCUGCCCUGGGCUGCAGCCUAGGUAGCUUGUGGUGAAAAAUAAAAUUUUACAUGUAAAUUAGAUUGAUUUUCGAAUGUAGUCCACCAAAUAUUUAGUCGCUAAUUCAAAUUCUCUAGGUUUAACUAUAUAAAAUUAUAUAAUACACUUUGCAAACCAUCUCUUUUUCUUACAUUAUUUUUCUCAUCGCUUCUUGUACAUGUACAAAUUUGGAUUUGUUUAAUUUUAACACGUUUUUGGCUCACCUUGUGAAUUUUUUUAAGCUAACUGAUACUAUAAGAAAUAGGGUAUCAAGUUUCUUUAUUUAAAAAGAUUUAAAAUUUUAAACUAGCCCACCCGGUAAAACAUUCCUAACUCCGCUAUUGAUGGUGAUAUUGGAAACACUAGUUGGUGGGUUGAUUGGUAGAAAUGGUUCCAACAAUUUAAAGAUGAGAAAUGAGUAUUGAGCAAUGAUCAAAAUGUGUUGUACUUUAUCAGAAAAGAUCUUUGUGCAAUCAAAAGUGCAUUUUAUCACAAAAAGGUAACAACGAUCAAUAUAAUUGUUAUUUAUAAAAUCACACAUAAAAUAAGAAGUAAUCUUUUCUUUUUCUUUUCAUCUCUGCCACUAUGGGCCGACCAUGACUUAAAGAAACGCUUUUUGGGUCAAUGGAUGGGAACGACCCAUUUUAUAAUAUUGUUUGUAAAUUUUUCUGGAAGUAGAUGGAAAUGACCGAAGUACAUAUUUCCCCUGCUCACAGACAUUUGCAUUGCACCUAGCAAACACCAGUUUUUUUGUUUGAACAUCGAUCCACAUCAACGUUUAAUUCAAGAUAAAGAAAGGUAAUCGCAACACGACGGCGGCGACGUGGCGGUCAUUUAACGGAAAAUAACAGACAAAUCAGCCUCCAGAUCAAGUCUUGAAGCACAACUCUGAAAAAUCGAGACUACCUACAUCUGAGCUCCGACCAACCGCUGAUGGAGGCAAUCAGGAAGCUCAGAGAUCAGGUCGCCAAGCAACAGCAGGUACUCUCUCUCUCUUGUUUGAUUCCGAAUUUGUAUUUCUCAAUGGAAUUUUAUAUGAACAUAAUCUGCGUUGAUUGCGAGAUACUGAGAUUGCUUAAUGAAAUAAUAUUUAUAUAAUUGUUCGAGUUGAAUUGGAUCGAUUCGAAUUCGAAUAGAAUUUCACUAUUUCUGAGCUGUGUUGGAGUGCAGUGUUGCCGAAUUUCUGAAAUUUUGAGCUAGGUGUUGCUAAUUACUUAUCCAUUUUUGGAUUUAAUUGGAUGCUUAAUUUUUACAUUUUCGGAAAACUUCAAGCAAAAAUGGUAUAUGAUUUUUAUCAUAAAAAGAGUUAGUCGAAGCUUUAUCGAGUUUGCUUUUGAUUAUUUUAUCAUAAAAAGAUGAGCAACGAUCUAUAUAAUUUUUCUGGAAGUUGAUGGAAAUGACCCAAUUACAUAUUUCCCCUCCUCACAGACAUUUGCAUUGCACCUAGCAAACACCAGUUUUUUUGUUUGAACAUCGAUCCACAUCAAUGGCUCUUGUGAGAACAUCUCCAGGAACCUCCUCUGAUUCCAACACUUUUCGGAGUUCUCGCUACGACGUGUUCUUGAGCUUCAGAGGGGAAGAAACUCGCAAGACUUUUACCGACCACCUCUACACAGCCUUGAACAACGCAGGAUUUCUUACGUUCCGAGACGACGAUGAACUUGAGAGAGGAGAAGAUAUAAAGCCAGGACUGCAGAAAGCGAUCCAGCAGUCACGAACUUCUGUUGUCGUGUUUUCGAAAGAUUACGCGUCAUCCAGUUGGUGUCUUGAUGAGCUUGUGCUGAUCCUUGAACGCAAGAGGACCACCUCGGACCAUGUAGUUUUACCAGUCUUCUACGAUGUCGAUCCGUCCCACGUGAGGAAGCAGACAGGAAGUGUUGGAAAAGCAUUUGCUAGAAGCCAGAAAAAUCAGUCGCCGGAAAAGGUGCAGGGAUGGAGGAAGGCACUUGCAGAGAUUGCAGACCUAGCAGGCAUGGUCUUACAAAAUCAAGCUGAUGGGUAACUUUCAUUAUCUCCAUUUCUCAUCUCUUUCCUGGGUGAAUUUGAUGUAUGAUCCGUAGUGACCUAGAUUUUUAUAUGUUUAUUAAUUCAAUCUCAGUAGUGAAUAAUAAUCUCAAUUUAGGUCAACUUAAAGAAAUCACACUCAACUCAACUUAAGGAUUAGUCAUUUUCCAUGUUAAUCUACUGGUUUCAGUUGCUUAAAUUUUUUUGAAAGCUGGUGUGGAAAAAAGUUAGGAUGUGAUAUGUCAUGUAUUUGUCUAUAGUUCGUAUAAAUUAUGCGCACUAUUCCUUUCUUUUUUUUCAAUUUAAUUUUGUCAGCAGUCCUUUUUUUUUUCUUAUUUAAAUAAAGGCAAUCAACAUAUGUUUGAAGGGAAUUUUAACGAAAAACCACAUUUUUACACUAAAAAGUCAAUCCUGAUACUAUUCACUUUACCCUUUAUUUUGUAAUUAUCUAAUUUUCCCAAUUCAUUUUUUGUUUUGUUUGCAAAUUCUUAGGUACGAGUCAACGUUUAUCAAAAACAUUAUUAAAGUGAUAGGAGACAAGUUAAGUCGCACGCCAUUGAGUGUUGAACCAAAAUUGAUUGGAAUUCAAUCUCAAGCCGAACACAUCAAUUUGUGGUUCCAAGAUGGAUCAAGUGAUGUUGGUAUAUUUGUUGUGUAUGGCAUGUCUGGAAUCGGGAAGACAACCAUUGCAAAACAUGUUUACAAUUCAAACUUUGGAAGCUUUCAAGGAAGUAGUUUCAUUGAAAAUAUCAAGGAAACAGCAGAUCGACCAAAUGGCUUAGUUCAAAUACAAAUGCAACUUCUUUGUGAUAUUUUGAACGGCAGAGAAGUGAAAAUACACAGUGUUAGUGAGGGAAUAAUUAAGAUUGAAAGGGCCAUAAGCUCUAAAAGAGUUCUACUUGUUCUUGAUGAUGUUGACCAUAUGGACCAAUUAGAUGCAAUCCUAACGAUGAAAGAUCAGUUUUAUCCUGGAAGUAAGAUACUAAUAACAACUAGGUGUGAAAGGUUGUUAAAGGCAGAUCAAGUUACCGAGGUGCACAGAGUUCAAACUUUGGAUGACAAUGAAUCAUUAAAGCUUUUCAGUUGGCAUGCUUUUGGCCAGGACCAUCCCAUAGAAGAAUACAUGGAGCACUCAAAACAGCUAGUGCAACAUAGCGGCGGACUUCCAUUAGCUCUAAAAGUUUUGGGUUCUUCUUUAUCAGGAGGACGUAUAGGUGUAUGGGAAAGUGCAUUGGAGAAGCUAAAAGUUAUUCCUGAUGGUGAAAUCAUGAGUAAACUAAGAAUAAGCUAUGAAAGUUUAAAAGAUGACCAUGACCGGAAAUUAUUCCUCCACAUUGCUUGUUUCCUAAUAGGAAGGAACAAAAGUUACAUUGUUAGAAUAUUCGAUGGAUGUGAUUUCUAUACAAUCAUUGGCAUUCAAAAUCUCAUUGAUAGAUGCUUGGUGACACUUGAUGAAUACGGCAAGGUGAACAUGCAUGACUUGAUUCGUGCUAUGGGAAGAGAAAUUGUUCGCCAAGAAUCAGAAGAGCCUGAGAAACGUAGUAGAUUAUGGCGCCAUAAGGAUUCUUUCCAAGUAUUGAGGAAAAAGAAUGUAAGAAACAUGUCUUUUAUGUCUAUAUAUGUAUUUCUUCUUGUGAAAAUUACGCAUAUUAAUGUCUCUAUUGUUUCCUUUAGGGUACAAAAAAAAUCCAAGGUCUUUUCCUGGAUAUGCGUAACCAUCCUGCAAACAAUCCAAUAAACACAAAUGAGAUAGUCUUGGAAACCAAUGCAUUUGCAAGGAUGCGCAAUUUACAACUACUCCAUCUUAGUCAUGUACGAUUGGAUGGAUGUUAUGUAGAUUUCCCUACAGGAUUAAGAUGGUUGUGUUGGCUUGAAUUUCCUUUGGAUUCUAUACCAAUUGAUUUUCCUUUGGAGAACGUAAUUGUUCUUGAAAUGCAAUACAGUAGCUUGAGACAAGUAUGCAAAGGAACAAAAGUAUGUUACUCUAUGCAUUUCAAUUCAUUUUCCUUAUUUUGUUAGUUUUUUAUUUGUGGACUAACUCCAUGUGUUAAAAUGAACUAUUAUGUUUUCUUUAAUUCGAUAACUAAUUUCUUAUGUUAGACACUUAUUUCAUUGUUCUUUUUUUUUCUUUUUUCUUUUUCCUUUGUUUCCACAGUUUCUUCCAUCGUUGAAGAUCCUUGACGUCAGCCAUUCUCAUGGCCUUAGUGAAACCAUUGACUUCUCACUUUCCCCCAAUCUAGAGGAACUGAUUCUUGUAGAUUGCACAAGCCUGAAGAAUGUUCAUGAAUCCAUUGGAAACCUGGAGAGACUCGUGUACUUGAAUUUGAAGGAUUGCAAGAAUCUUAGGAUGCUUCCGAAGAACAUGUGCAUGCUUAAAUCACUUGAAACACUCAUUUUAUCUGGUUGCUUAAAUCUUGAUGAGUUUCCAGUGGAGAUGAUGAAGAA
rnacentral:lncRNA from 1 species